rnacentral:lncRNA from 1 species
CCCUGCUAAAGUAUGUGACUGUGUGACGAGUUUCUCAUUAGUAAUCAUGUUCUUGCAAGUUUAUCUCUAGUCUAUGCCUUGAUAGAUUUUGUCCCUUGUUUUAAUUCCAUCUUCUUUAGAUCCCCUAAGCAAAAUUAUAAAUAACGAUACCUGGAAUACUUAUCCUGGUGAAAUGCUACAAUGAGGUGUUUUAUCUGUGCGCUUGCGGAUAGAAUAGAUUAUUUUCUAGAAAGCCUUUACAUUUAUAAAUACCUUUGUACACUCUGGCGCCAUGCUAGGGAUGACAACCUAGUAUCUAAGUGGUGUUAGCUAGUGUCAACAAUGCUCUAUCUUUUUCUUUUCUCUCAGGUGGGUAUCUUGUACCCCUAAUUCUACUGUCGGACACUUGUCCAUUUUUACCUCUCGUCUCACUUUCUUUUCUUUCGAGGUUCCGGGCACUUGCCCCUUUUUAUUUCCUCGUAUUUUUUUCUCUUCUUUUUUUUAGAGCACUCAUCUCUUGAGAUAAUAUAGCAAGUGGUAGUAAGAAGAUAACUUGAGCAUUUAUUUCACAGGAAAAAAUAGAAAUAGUUUUGGUUAUUCUCUUCCGGAUUAGGAGUAGAAUGUUUUUAGGUGGUUCUGGAGAUGAAAAUGGGUGGAUAUAUGUGGAUGGUACUUCCGGAGUAGAAGUAGCAUAUAUGAGUGAAUGUGCAAGUGAAUCUUGAUUUAACCACAUGACAAGCUCCUAAGGGUCUACACAGCUUGACCACACUCAAUGCUCAUAAGCAGUAAAUAGUAAAUGUGUGGCUCAAAGUCUAGCAAGCAUGUAUAUAUGGCUGUGGUAGGAAUUUAAAACUCUCAUCAUACAGGAACUCAUCAUGCAACAUUUUAAAGAUUUUCAAAGAUAAAAUUCUCCAGAAUUCUAGCAUCUCUAGGAACAGAUAAACAGCAGCUCAACCUUCCCAUAUCGUAUCCGUUAACAACUUAGACUUCAGAUCAAGUUUUUAUCCCACAAGUUUAGGUCUAGAGCAAGCUUUAAAUUAUAACAGUUAUAUCUAAACUUGAGAGAGAACUUAAAAUGUGCAAAUUAGGCAGAGCAACUAUUCAUCAUAUCUAUGCUAGAGUUUUAUUUAGAUACAGAUUAGCAUAGCCACUUUAUUUAUUUAUUAAACACACUAAGCAAAAGAUAUAUAUAAGCACAAGAUCUUUAUUUGGUUUUUCAUGGUUUAUAUAUAUUUAUAUUCUAAUAUAAUAUAAGUAUAAAGAUAGAUAGAUAGAAAUACUUAUCGGGAUAAAUGGGGGUGCUCUCUCCAAAGCUGAAUUUUGACGUAAUUUCUCUUGAUGUAGCUAGCAGGUGGCAGAGGUGUAUUUGAAGGUCAGCAGCAUUCUGACAGCGAUUAGAAUGUCCUCCGUCUGCUAGUCUUCUUGAUUCUUAAAUUCUGUGGAGCUCAAAUAGACAACAAAGCUUGUGGAACUGAUUAAGUGUUAGCAUAAAUAUCUAGCCUUUAUCAUGUUGAGACUCCUUAAUAAAUAUUACUCCCUAUUUUUUAUAUUUUCAUUUUAUAAAGCAGAAAAGAAAUAUUUAUUUUAUUUUUAUGCCACCACAGUGAAUGUACUUAUGGGUUUCAUGCCACUCGUAUACUCACAUGGGGCUUACUGUUUUUCAUAUUUUUAUUUUCUUUUUGAGAUAGUAUGAACUAAGUAAACUAUUUGAAAUAAUUGAAAGGAAAAAGAUAACUACCAAGUUUACCUCUUGGUAAGGCGUUCAGUGUUUUUAGGUCCUCCGAACAGGACUCUCCAUUUUCUCAAUUGUCCUGGGAUUCGUUGGGUGGCGUAGUAGGUACUUCCGGUGGCGCCUCCUCUUCAUGUAUAGUUAUCUUCUCUUUCCAUACCUGACUCGGUGCUACGGUCUCCUUUGGAUAAUUCUGUUUAAACUGAAUGUCUUCUGACCUUACAACUUCUCCUUCAUAGUCUGCCCAUCCGUCCUUGAUGAUUUGCCUCCUCUGGAUGCGGUUGCGUCGUUUUUUACCUGCUUAGAUUCUUCAACGAUGUAGUUAGGGUCAGUAAAAUAGCGGCGUAACUUCUCUGAGGGGAAGUGCAUAUGGACUUCUCCGGUUCCAAUGUAGAUGAUUGCUUUAACGGUGCUGAGAAAUGGUCUUCCAAGGAUGAUGGGUGGAUCGUAUUCAUCUUCUCCCAUGUCAACAACCUGAAAGUCUGUGUAGACAAAAUGAUCGUCUAUUUUGAUAGGGACAUUAGUUACUGUUCCUUUAACUUCUCGAAAUGUCUGAUCUGCCAUCUGGAGCUAAAUAUAUGUUGGUCUUAGAGUCAUGGUUCCGAACAAGAGCCGAUAGGUGACUGCGGCCAUUAUGUUGACGCCCGAUCCGGUGUCGCAAAAUGUCUUAUAGAAGCUAUAUCCAUUUAUGGAGCAGUAGAUGCUUGGCAUUCCUGGCUCGUCCUUCUUGGUCAAAAACGGUGACUUAAGUUGAUGAUCUUGACCUCCAUGAACUGCAGUGACCAUCUUAGCUGACUCGGUCCACACUUGCUUGUUCCUGUUCCUCCUAUUGGUCCUCUUCCUUGAAUCACGUCAGGAUUGAUUUGGGAUUUGUGUAGUCUUGUUCCUGAAGAAAAACGUCUCCUUCCUCCCUUUGAUGUAAAAACUGAUCUUGGCAGCACUGGCAUAGAUGACGGCUCCCGAGGUGUUUAAGAAUGGCCUCCCUAAGAUGAUAGGUGACCUCUCAUCAUUCCCGGUCUCUACCACUACGAAGUCUGCUAGGGCGUACAAGGUACCAACUCGGACACAAAGGUUCUUCAAUAUCCCUUUUGGAAAACUUAUCGUCUGAUCUGCAAACUGAAAACACAUGGUUGUCUCUAAUAAAGGAUAUGUAAAGAAUUUUUCAUAGAGUACCCUGGGCAUAAUGUUGACACUGGAGCCAAAGUCGCAGAGUGCUUCUAGGACGUCCACCAUGCCGAUGGAAAUCGGGAUGACGGGGCGUCCUGGAUCGCCUCUCUUGACCGGCAGAAGGUCAGUAGUGAAUUCAGUGGUGGGGUUACUCUAGUUAUUACCUGCAUCAAAUAUGUCUACAAGAUUUGCAGAUUCUAAUCCUUCCGGUUGUGAUGGUAUACCGGGGUUAGUAACAAGAACAGCAGCAGCUAUUUGAUUUAACUGAGAUUCAAUCACUUUAUUAAAGCUAAUUUGAUUCUUGAUGGCAGUAGAGAAAUUAUCCAUUCUAUUAUUUAUAUUUUCUAGCAUUUAUCAUUAGAUACCAAUUUCUUAGAUAGAUUAUCCAUUAGCUUUCCUUGAUUAGACACUAACUCUCUCAGAGGUGGAAAAUUAUUAUUGUUGUUGUAAGAAUUGUUACCUUGAUAAUUACCUGAGUAGUUAGGCCUCUGUUGAUUCCAACCUUGAUUUUGUUGAGGACGGUUGUAGUAGUAGUAGUUGUUGUUGAUGUAGUUCACAUCCUCAAGCAUCUCAGGGCAGUGAUUGCCUGAGUGUCCAGUAUCUCCACACUCCUCACAAGUCAUGUGAGAGUCGUAGAUGUGCAUAACUUCUUUCUUAUCUCCAGUUCUAUCGUCGAGCUUCUUCAUGAGUAGGUCUAGCUUUGCAAACAGCCUGUCUACCUCCUUGAGCUGAUGCAUACCUCCACCUCUCCUGCGUGUCUGGGUCCUCUCUUCAUUCCAACUUUGGUUGGACGCCAUCUUCUCCACAAGAGCUGUGGCUUGUGGUAUAGUAAGUGAUAAGAAUGCUCCUCCAGCUGCAGCAUCCACGGUCUCUCGGGCACUGUUGCCGAGUCCAUGAUAAAAUGUCUGCAUCAAUAGCCAACUCUCCAUUCCAUGAUGGAGACAUUCUAGGAUAUAGUCUUGAAAGCGCUCCCAUGGUUCUGGAACAGAUUCAUCAUUUUGUUGCUGAAAACAUGUAAUCUUCCCACGGAGAGCAUUGGUCUUGCCCAUGGGAAAGAACUUGGCCAGGAAGUUUGUUGAGCAGAGUGCCCACGUAGUAUUCGUCUCCUUUGUAGUGUAAAACCACUGCUUCGCUCUCCCUAACAGUGAGAAUGGGAAGAGGCGAAGUAGUAUAGCAUCUAUUGGGACUCCUGAUAUGGUAAAUGUGCUGCAUAUCUCCAGAAAGUGUUGGAGAUGAGCACUAGCAUCUUCGUGUGCCUUCCCAUAGAACUGGUUGGAUUGCACCAUGUUGAUAAGUCCAGGCUUGAGCUCAAAGUUGCCGUCGAUCUCUGCAGCAGGUCCAGUGCGGAUGUUGUCCGUAGUGGGAGCUGAGAACUCGCGGAUUGACUUGUUCGCCAUGGCUUCGAACUCUGAAGACAAGUUCCGGUGAUCUUCUUGAUUGGGUGAAGCUUCUUGCUGAAGUGUGGAUGAUCUCUUCUUGAGCAUGGCUCUAGUUCUUCUGAAUAACGCUUCAGGAUUGUCAACAAAAUUUCCUGGAAGAUGUCUUCUAUUCAUACAUUCCCCUGCAUAAGAUAAAAUAGAAAAAUAUCGGGGUAAAACUGUAUGAGAGAAUAGAUAAGCUCAAUCAUAUUAGUGAUGCGAAUGAUAACUCAAAAUCCUUUAUUCCAUUCCUGAUUAGUAAUCAACCUUCCCCGGCAACGGCACCAAAAAUGCUUGUUGGGUAUUCUUAACAUCAUUACCAAAAGUAGACAGUUUUCUAAUUCUAGCAACGGUGCCAAAAAUGCCAAACCUAUCCAUCAUACCACUUAAGCCAAGUUGUCAUCCCCAGCAUGAUAUAAGAGACGCGGUAUUGAAAUAUGCAAUUGCUCUUCUAAAUAAAUAAUGAAUGGGAUCUGCAAGCGCACAGAUUAAUACUGAUGUAGCAUUUUAACUGGGAAGUAUUCUAGGUAUCGUUAUUUAUAUUUUUACCAUUGGGAAGGGAUUAGCAAUCAUCAAUAUUGAUUACAGAAUAGAAUAUGAGAUUGAGUAUCUAUCAUUGCAUGUAUAAUUGAGAACAUUUAUCUAAUUCUUUCAUACAGGGGUAAGUGUCACAUAAAAGAUAUAUGAAAUAAUGAAUAGUGACAAAGAUAAUUAAUCUGAUCAGCCACAUAUAAAUAUGAUAAGCACCUCAAUUAGAUACGCUAGAAAGUCAUUAGCAUGGUAUUAGAACGAACUACAAGAAUAUUUCCUAAGUUAUUCUCAACUAUAUAGUAUAGCAUUAUCGUAGUUAGUGCAAGCAUACUUAGCAAUCAUUGUGAGACAAGACUACUGUUGACGGUUCUUAAGUAUCAACUUUAAUUAUCAAAUAAACAUGAGAAAGGACCAAUAUGCAACCAUCACCUAGAAUUAGGGUUUGAUCUGACAGAAUUCCACGAGUUUUGUUGUUUAUCUGUUUCUGCAGGGGGUUAUCAGGAAAUAAGGAAGAAAGGCCCACAUGUCAGGAUUACAUAGAGAUAUCAACGCACCGCGCAAUUUUACAUCAUCUAGAAGACUAAAGAAGCCACGAGACCGAAGCGGAGGCAAAACUGGGCCAGGCCCAGGGCGCCCGCCCUGGAAGCCUGGGCGCCCGCCCCCCUGCUGGAGCCAAAUCAGGACUCUUUCGUUCGGGAUAUUCCACCGACCUAUUGGAUCAAGAAAAACAUAGUACCACCUCGGCUAUCGACCCAAAAACGCAUAGAAGGGGAGGACUAUAUAAGCAAGGCCCCCUGGCCCCUGGAGAAGACAUGAAGAAAUUAUCAUAGAGACUGAGGGGUGCCCUCGAAGGAAAACCUCUUCUCUAAUUAAUAUUUCUUUUUAGGCUUAGCAAUCAAUGUAAGGUAGAAAUAGAUCUUCUAGUUUCUACUAGAUUGAGAGAGAUAGAGUGGAGGUGUAGAGUGGAGGAAGCCCGGCCUGUCGGUGUCUACUCCAAGCUUGUACCUGCGGGAUCAAGUUCUCCUAACCCGAAGCUUGCUCCUAGGAUUCUUCAGUAAUUCGACUUCUAAAUUCUAGUAAGUUCUUGUUUUAUUGUUCUUAUGGUUUAUGAGUUUACUUUAAUCUCUUCGCGUAGAGUUUAGAGUAAUCAUUGCUGGCGUAAACGUGGUGUUUAGGCUAGGGUACUCAUAGAUAUUCCCUGACUAGCUGGACCGUGGUAGUAGUGAGGAACGUGACAAUUCCGAGCUACCUUUAUAGAUCACAUCUCGUUAGCAGGAAGGAUAGGGUUUGUAGGUGCGGGUCGAACAUCCUUUGUGGUGUCUAGAUUCCGUUAGCCUCCCCAUUAGAACAGUAGAUCAUCCUUACCAAGGUUAGAAGGAGACUACGGUUGCAGUCUUCUCUAUUUAUCACUCACAUCGAAAGACAUUCUUUGUGCCUAAAGGUUAGUAGUAAUAGACCGGUUAGUCAGAUGCACUCUUUCUCCUAGUGGUAAAAAAAUAAAUACGAUACUCUGGAUAAUUUCUCGGGUGAAGUGCUCACCGAUAUCCGUGCGCUUGCGGAUCAAUUCCUUAUUGCGUUCCCAAAUAUCAACAAGCAUUUUCUGGCGCCGUUGCCGGGGAGAAAGACGGUUGCUGAGAUAACCUGUGUCUUGCUAUUAGCUUGUAUCUAUACUUUUAUCUUUUCUUAUCUUUUGUAUUCUUUAUUUAUUUUCUUUAUUCUUACCUUAUGGAAAACCAAAAUUCUAAAUCGAUCCAUGAGUCUGCAAUCCCUUUAGCAACUGACCUUUUACCAUGGGAAUCAUCACAGCCUAUCCAAACACCCCAGUAUAAGUUAAGUUCUAGGUUGAUUGCUAUGAUUGAAAACCUAUCUUUUUCGGGAAAGGAAGACGAAAACCCUUACCUUCAUAUUAGAGAUUUUGAGCAAACAUGUGAUUGUCUUCGCAUUGAAGGCAUUUCUGAUAAGACUUUACGUUGGAAGCUUUUUCCUUUUUCUCUAAGGGGAGAAGCUAGACAAUGGUACAGUCAGAAGGUAAGUCAACAACAAGGUGAAUGGGGAGUUUUACGAGCCAACUUUUGUCUAGAUUUCUAUUCCCUUGACCGUAUAGCCGACCUUAGACUCGAAGUCCUAUCUUUUAAACAAAAAGAUAAUGAAACUUUGGGAAAAUCCUGGAAACGUUUUUCUGAUCUUUUAGAAUCUGGUCCAAACCUUAAUCUUGAAGACCCUGUUCUUUUAUUUCACUUUUUUCGAGGUCUUCAUAAAAAUCACAAACAAAUGCUACACACAAUGUCUAGAGGUUCUUUCUUUCGCAUCCCUGCUGAUGAAGCAAGAGUGAUCCUAGAUAGAAUCCUAGAAGCUGAGAUGGAUAAUACCCUUCAUGAUGAAACCUACGAAGCCGAAGUAGACACUCUACCAAAUUCUUCAUCUACUUUAGCUAUCCCAAGUUCUGAGCCUCAAGAGGAAGAAAUUCCACUACCGGACUUCAUGCAGGAUAUAGAAUCCGAUCUUUUUGCCGAUUUUGGAAAUAUUUCAAACUACCAUUCUAUUGACAAACCCCAAAACGGCCAGUUUAGCAUUUAUUUACCAAGUGAAUAUCAAUUGAUAGAACUUAUCUCAGUCAUGAGUAGCGAAUGGUUGGAGGAAUCAGAGCUUUCCUCUGAUGUGAUCCGUUUGGACACACCCUCUAUAACUAUACGCUGUGCUUAUAAUUCUGAUCGAUUUAAUGCUCUUUAUAAUCCUGUUGUGGGGAUCAACAUUAUGUCUGAAUCCUUUGCACUUAAACUAUUUAAAAAUCUUAUCUUAACCCCCACAACAAAGGUCAUAAAGGAAUCUUCGGGACGAUUAGUCCCCAGUCUUGGAAUUAUUAAUGUCCUACCUCUUACGGUAGAAGGCUCCAUGGUUCAUUUGAACUUUUAUAUCUUUGAUACAUGGGACUUUGACCUAUUGAUAGGACAACCUUUUAGAAGACUCCUUUAUGAAGGUCAUACUAGAAAGCUACAUAUUUCUUUUGGAAAAAGUUUUAAAUUCCCAAUAAUAAUUUCACACUCCUUAAAUAAUAAGGCCGAGUCAUAUCUUUUGCCUGAUCCUAUGGAGGAAGUAAAGGCUGCAUCUCUAGAGCUUUUAGAUGAACCAGACUUAGAAGACGAAACUCCUUUCUUCACAGAAGAAGAAGACGAACCUUCCGAGCUUGAACCCUUAGAUGAGUUUGCAGAAACACCUAGACCCCCCAUAGAACUUAAAACUUUACCACCCGGUCUUAUCUAUGCUUUCCUAAACAAUAAUCCAGAGUUCCCUGUGAUCAUUAGCGAUAAACUCACUCAGGAUCAAACUCUGCGAUUAAUGACCAUUCUUCAGAAACAUCACUCAGUUUUCGGCUACUCACUUCAAGAUCUUAUGGGAAUCAGUCCUAUGAUUUGUACCCAUUGUAUUCCAACAGAUCCUUCUGUUACACCCUCUCGAGAACCCCAACGUAGACUUAACAACACUAUGAGAGAGGUAGUUAAAAAGGAAGUUAUUAAGUUGCUGCAUGCAAGGAUUAUAUAUCCUGUGCCGCACAGUGAGUGGGUGAGCCCAGUCCAAGUUGUGCCCAAAAAGGGAGGCAUGACAGUUAUUAUGAAUGAAAAGAACGAGCUAAUUCCGCAACGCACCGUCACAGGAUGGCGGAUGUGCAUAGACUAUAGAAAACUAAACAAAGCCACGAGAAAGGAUCACUUUCCUUUACCUUUUAUAGAUGAGAUGCUAGAGCGGUUAGCAAACCAUUCAUUCUUUUGUUUCUUAGAUGGAUAUUCCGGGUAUCAUCAAAUCCCGAUCCAUCCCGAUGAUCAAAGCAAAACCAAUUUUACAUGCCCUUAUGGAACUUAUGCUUAUCGUAGAAUGUCUUUUGAGUUAUGUAAUGCACCAGCUUCUUUUCAAAGAUGCAUGAUGUCUAAAUUUUCUGAUAUGAUUGAAGAGAUUAUGGAAGUUUUCAUGGAUGAUUUCUCUGUUUAUGGAAAAACUUUUGAUAGUUGUCUUGAAAACUUAGAUAAGGUUUUGCAAAGAUGUGAAGAAAAGCACUUAAUCCUUAAUUGGGAAAAAUGUCAUUUUAUGGUUAGGGAAGGAAUAGUGCUAGGACACUUAGUGUCUGAAAGAGGGAUUGAGGUAGACAAAGCUAAAAUUGAAGUAAUUGAACAACUACCUCCACCUGUGAAUAUAAAAGGAAUUCGAAGCUUUCUUGGCCAUGCUGGUUUUUAUCGUAGAUUCAUAAAAGAUUUUUCAUUCAUUGCUAGACCACUUACUCUUUUGCUAGCCAAGGAUGCUCCUUUCGAAUUUGAUGAUGCAUGUCUAACAUCUUUCAAUUUAUUAAAGAAAGCACUCAUCUCUGCACCAAUCAUUCAACCCCCUGAUUGGUCGUUACCUUUUGAAAUUAUGUGUGAUGCUAGUGAUUAUGCUGUGGGGGCAGUAUUGGGACAAACUAAAGAUAAGAAGCAUCAUGCAAUUGCUUAUGCCAGUAAAACUUUGACAGGAGCUCAACUCAAUUAUGCAACCACUGAAAAAGAGCUUCUGGCUGUUGUCUUUGCCAUUGAUAAAUUUAGAUCUUAUUUAGUUGGAGCUAAAAUAAUUGUUUACACUGAUCAUGCUGCACUAAAAUAUUUGCUCACUAAAAAAGACGCUAAACCUCGCCUGAUUAGAUGGAUUUUAUUACUCCAAGAAUUUGACUUAGAAAUAACAGAUAAAAAGGGAGUAGAAAAUUCUGUUGCUGAUCACCUGUCUAGAAUGUAUUUUAAGAGUCCACAGGAAACCCCAAUCAAUGAUUCACUCCAGGACGACAUGCUCUACGGGAUUAACAGGUCUGACCCCUGGUAUGCAGAUAUUGUUAAUUUUAUGGUUUCAGGGUAUGUACCACCAGGAGCAAACAAGAAGAAGCAUAUUCAAGAAAGUCGUUCACAUAUAUGGGAUGAGCCAUACCUCUUCCGAGUAUGCUCUGAUGGCUUACUCAGGAGAUGUGUGACCACUGAGGAAGGAUGGAAGAUCAUCGACAGAUGUCAUUCAUCACCAUAUGGAGGUCACUAUGGAGCAUUCCAUACACAUUCAAAGAUCUGGCAGUGUGGAUUCUAUUGGCCUACAAUGUAUGAAGACACAAGGCAAUAUAUCAGAAGAUGUGAGCCAUGUCAAAGGCACGGAAACAUAAAUACAAGGGAUGCAAUGCCACUCACCAACAACCUUCAGAUUGAGCUCUUUGAUGUCUGGGGAAUAGACUACAUGGGUCCAUUUCCUCCAUCAAAGAAGUGCGAGUACAUCUUGGUGGCGGUUGACUAUGUCUCCAAGUGGGUAGAAGCAUUACCUUGCAAGCAUGCCGACAAUGUCAGUUCAAAGAGGAUGUUUGAAGAAAUUAUAUUUCCAAGAUUUGGAGUUCCCAGAGUAGUGAUAAGUGAUGGAGGAGCACACUUCAUCAACAAACGCUUCAAGCAAUAUCUAUCAAGACAUGGAAUCCGUCACAACGUCGCUACCCCUAUCAUCCUCAGACAAGUGGCCAAGCAGAGACUUCCAACAAACAAAUCAAGAAUAUUCUUCAGAAGACAGUAAAUGAAAUGGGAACGGCGUGGAAAGACAAGUUACCCAAUGCACUCUGGGCAUACCGGACAGCAUACAAGACCCCAAUUGGAAUGUCUCCAUACCAAUUGGUGUACGGGAAGACUUGCCAUCUACCUGUUGAACUAGAGUUCAAAGCACACUGGGCCAUAAAGAGAUGGAAUAUGGACCUAGAUGUUGCUGGAGAUUAUAGAAGAAUGCAACUAUCAGAAUUGGAAGAAUGGCGAGAGAAAGCAUAUCACAAUUCAAAGAUCUACAAAGAAAGUGUCAAGAGGUGGCAUGACAAGAGAAUCAAGAAGAAGGAGUUCACACCCGGAGAUAAGGUAUUACUUUUUAAUUCCAGGGUAAAGCUUUUCGGGCAUGGAAAACUCCGGAGCAAAUGGGAAGGACCAUUCAAGGUAAUCAAUUCAUCAUCCCACGGAGCUAUCACACUUCAAAAUAGCGAAGGUACGUUAUUCAAGGUAAAUGGUCAACGUCUUAAAUUAUUUUUAGAGCCCAAUGAGGAAUUUGAAGAAAUAGACGUAGUCCAUUUUUACCUUCCCAUAGAAAAUUAGAGCCCAACAAUUUUGGUCUGAUGGUUUUGGGGCAUAUAUAUAUUUUUCUAAAUAAUUUCGCAUCUAGAAACGCGCUCGGAAAAGUGGGCCCACAGAGGGGCCAGAGAGAGGGCGGGCGCCCAGGUCAAGUGGGCGGGCGCCCAGCCCCUGUUCCCCCUCGGUCCCGACUUUCUCUGUUAUGGAAAAUGCACUUAGGGUGAUCCGAAUAAUCCCUCAGAUGGAAAGUUUCACACGCACAUCGACGGGAGCAACCCGAACAACCCAUAGAGGCAUCCUUUUGAACCCUAUAUAAACAGACCCCUGACCUCAGUUUUCAGACACCAAGCCACCAAGCUUUCUCUCCUUCAAUUAGAGCUUAAUUAGCUCUACUUCAAUUAAAAUUUUAUUAGUUCCUUGCUACUCCAAUGGCCAAGAAGUACCACGAUGAUUGGGAAGUCGUCCCCUUCAACCUCAACAUGGAGCCAGUGGAAGACCCCGAUGCCCGUGCUCUCGUCCCGGCCAACACAGAGCGUCAGCUAGAAGCCAUGCCAUUACGCCAACGCAGCUCCGCCCAAUCUUACCAUGCUCAACCAGUUCUCACCGCACCACCACAACCCCUACUCCUCAAAGGACCAUCAUCCAAGACGAAGACCACUAUCAAGGUACCAAUCGGCACAAGGAUCCUUCCACCUAGACCCAAUGAGAGGGUCGUUGGAGUCAAGACCAACCGGAGCGGCGAGAUCAGCAGCGUUCGCUACACUACGGAGGGGGAAAGGCCUUACUUUGAAGGGGUUAGAGCAUCCAAAGUCCGUUUCAUUCCUCCAAAGGCAGCCCCGAAGCACUCUCUCAAUGCUUUUGAGACACCUCCCAAGCGUCGCAAGACUAUAAUGGAUAUUGAUGAGGAAGUUCGCAGGCUAGAUAGAGUUAUCAUAGACCUCCAGUCCUCGAUUAAUUCCCUCACUAGGCAGCUCUCUAACCACAACACCGUUAUACUAGGCCUUAGGCAGGAUCUUGCCAGUGCCAACAAGAAGAUCAAGGAAUUAGAGCGCCGCUAAGUAAUCUAGAUUAGACCUUGAGGCAAUGCAUCUUAGUUAUCUAUCUUUAAAUUCGGUUUAGGUUUACUAUUAUCAUCAGUUUACUAUUAUCAUCAGUUUGCUACUAGUCUUUUGUAAUAAAUGCCUCAAGAUCAAUAAAGAGUAUUACUAUUAUUAUUAUUAUGUCUUGUGUGUCUCUACUUUAUUUUUUGUGCAAGAAAGCAGAAAACAAGUAUGGUGGAGAUCCCUCAACAUGCCAAACACACUCCGACUACACCACUCCACGAUUCAGGUACACACUCUGCACACUUUACUUUACACAUAUAUAUAUUUUGGAUUAUGCAGAUUAUUGUUUCCGACAUGAUAAAAUAAAAAGAUUAAAAUAUUUCUAAUCAUGAUUAAUCUCAGUCUGUGAUAUUUCCUGAAAACUUGCAAUUAUUAUAAAAUCAUUUUAAAACCCUGUGUUACUUAAGUCAAUAUGGAAUAUGUGAUGGUAGAGUAUGAGUUUCUUAUUCUUGAUAUCAUUGUUGCUUGGAGAAUUUAUUUCAAAAUAUUCAAAAUUCUAGCUACCAUCCUUAGUGUUUUAUAUGCCUGAUAAAACUGAAAUAUUAAUUAUGAUUAUAAAAGCUAUCUGCUCUGUAUUGAGUUUGUUCAAAAUGAGUUAGACCCUUGUUGAGAGAUUUAUCAUGCUCCUAAGAUCAAGACAUUAUUUCAGAAAGAUUCACUCUUCCAAAGUAUUAUUGCAUUAGAGGCAUGGGCUAUGCAAAAAUAAAAAUAUUUCGAGGAAAUAAAAAGGAGCAAGUGCUCGACAACCUCGCAGAAAAAAUGGACAAGUGUCCGGUAGUAGAAUUAGGGGUACCUCAGUAUCCACUUAAAAAAAAUGAUGAUAGCCCGUGGUCCCUCUAAUAAGCAAUAUGCCAGCAAGAGUUGACAAAGAUUUUAAUUUCCAAAGUCUUUGAUCUAAGAGUAUGACAUUCCCCUCCUCGGAUCUCGUUUUGAUCAGGCAAUAAAUGCAAAGUAAGUAUGCUUGAGAAUUUUUACAAAAUAAAACAACCUCAGUGAGAUAUAUAUAUAAAAGAUAAUGAGUGAUCUGAGAGAACCUAUGAGGAUAAAAAGGUAUGCUAACUUUCUUUCAAAAAUAUAACAAAAACUCCAAGUGACAGGAUUGAGAAGAAAGGAUCUUUACUCUUAACCAUAUACUUCCCUGACUAUGGUACACAGUGGAAUUUUAACACCCUGCAAUUAUAUAAAGAGAAUGUUUUAAAUGUUUUACCCCAGAUAUUUUUCUUAACCAUCCUUUUCUCGAGGAUGAGUAAAAGCCUAAGUAUGGGGGUAUUUGUUGACGGUUCUUAAGUAUCAAUUUUAAUUAUCAAAUAAACAUGAGAAAGGACCAAUAUGCAACCAUCACCUAGAAUUAGGGUUUGAUCUGACAGAAUUCCACGAGUUUUGUUGUUUAUCUGUUUCUGCAGGGGGUUAUCAGGAAAUAAGGAAGAAAGGCCCACAUGUCAGGAUUACAUAGAGAUAUCAACGCACCGCGCAAUUUUACAUCAUCUAGAAGACUCCAAAAGCCACGAGACCGAAGCGGAGGCAAAACUGGGCCAGGCCCAGGGCGCCCGCCCCCUGCUGGAGCCAAAUCAGGACUCUUUCGUUCGAGAUAUUCCACCGAGCUAUUGGAUCAAGAAAAACAUAGUACCACCUCGGCUAUCGACCCAAAAACGCAUAGAAGGGGAGGACUAUAUAAGCAAGGCCCCCCUGGCCCCUGGAGAAGACAUGAAGAAAUUAUCAUAAAGACUGAGGGGUGCCCUCGAAGGAAAACCUCUUCUCUAAUUAAUAUUUCUUUUUAGGCUUAGCAAUCAAUGUAAGGUAGAAAUAGAUCUUCUAGUUUCUACUAGAUUGAGAUAGAUAGAGUGGAGGUGUAGAGUGGAGGAAGCCCGGCCUGUCGGUGUCUACUCCAAGCUUGUACCUGCGGGAUCAAAUUCUCCUAACCCGAAGCUUGCUCCUAGGAUUCUUCAGUAAUUCGACUUCUAAAUUCUAGUAAGUUCUUGUUUUAUUGUUCUUAUGGUUUAUGAGUUUACUUUAAUCUCUUCGCGUAGAGUUUAGAGUAAUCAUUGCUGGCGUAAACGUGGUGUUUAGGCUGGGGUACUCAUAGAUAUUCCCUGACUAGCUGGACCGUGGUAGUAGUGAGGAACGUGACAAUUCCGAGCUACCUUUGUAGAUCACAUCUCGUUAGCAGGAAGGAUAGGGUUUAUAGGUGCGGGUCGAACAUCCUUUGUGGUGUCUAGAUUCCGUUAGCCUCCCCAUUAGAACAGUAGAUCAUCCUUACCAAGGUUAGAAGGAGACUACGGUUGCAGUCUUCUCUAUUUAUCACUCACAUCGAAAGACAUUCUUUGUGCCUAAAGGUUAGUAGUAAUAGACCGGUUAGUCAGAUGCACUCUUUCUCCUAGUGGUAAAAAAAUAAAUACGAUACUCUGGAUAAUUUCCCGGGUGAAGUGCUCACCGAUAUUCGUGCGCUUGCGGAUCAAUUCCUUAUUGCGUUCCCAAAUAUCAACAACUACGCCCAUGCAUAGUGAUAUUAGCAAGGUAAAUGAGAAACAUAGCAAUCACUCCCCUGUAAUAAUGUUGCUGUGCCAGCCCAAUACACCCUGGGACUAUAUAAGAAUCAAUGAAGUUGUCACUAUCGCGAACUACCCCACGAUCUGGCAUAUUGGGUACAAUCGCAGAUAAAUACGGUAUAAGCACCACGCCUACACAAUAUCUAUCAUUUACCCAUGGAUCUGAUAGAUAAAUGCUAUACGAUCCUAACCAUGUAUAUAGAUCCAAUCUAACUAAGCCAAGUACAUAACUAUGAUAAACUAAGAACAAUAUAAUCUUGAAUAUAAGCAAGUAGAGCAAAGUCAUAAGCAAUAUAUUGAAGUAGAACAAAGUCAUAUUCAUAAUACUGAAGAACAAAGAUAAUUAGAAAGCAAUUAGAAGCACAAUUAGAGAAUUACCAAGAAUCCUCUUGACAGAUCCGGAAACCAAUCGAAGAUUGACUCCUUCUAGUUCUAAUCCUAUGUAGCUAUGCUAAUCUAAAUCUUGAUCAGAGGCUUCUUCUCCCUUGAAGAACAUUGAAUUAGGGUUGAGAGGCUCUCUCCUCCAGGGGCCAGGGGGUCUGGUUUUAUAGUCCCUUCAAGUGAAUAUGGGCCGUUGGAUCAAACCGACAUUGAUUGAACGGUUAUCCUUGAUCUUUUAGGUUGGUGGAGAUCUCCCGAGAAACAGAGUCCUGAUUGGACUCCAACAGAGGGCGGGCGCCCUGCCUCUGGCCCUAUUUCGCCUCCGCUUCGGUCCCAUGGCUUCUGGAGUCUUCUAGAUGUAAGAUAAUUGCGCGGCACGUUAAUAUCUCUAUGUAAUCCCGACGUGUGGGCCUUUCUUCCGUAUUUCCUGAUAACCCGCUGCAGAAAUAGACAAACACCAAAACUCGUGGAAUUCUGUCUGAUAAAACCCUAAGUCUAGAUGUUGAUUUUAUUUGGAUCCUUUUCUUUAUUUAUUUGAUAAUUAAAUUUGAUACUUAAGGACCGUCAUCACUAAACCAAAUCUCCUAAACACCCGCUUAUCGGCAACUAUUCUAUUAGAGUUGACUACUGAUGAGCCGACCAGGAGAUCUUGCACAGUGAAAUAUCUCCUAAAAUCAUGAUUUCUCGCUGUCAAAUCACCUGCACAAUCCCUUGAUUAUCAUAUGAACAGUUACCAUAUCCACCUGAACACCCUCGAAUUUCAUGGAUACGGCCAAGAGAUAAGUCAGAAAUACCCCUGCUCGCUUCAUCCUAUAAAUACUUCCUUCCUCAGCACUCUUUCUUCACAUUGCCACCCUCCAUCCCCAAAUUCAUCCUCCGGCGGCGGCCUUGACGAAGAACUCAUGAACUCAUGCAACAAGAACUCCCCCAAGAAUCCUCAAGUCUUUGAUUUCUUCUACAUCGAGAAGAAAUGGCCGUCAACUUCAUCGUGCCUGAGGUUAAUCCGUCCUACACUUUUACCGCAAUUCUUUACCUUUUUGCAAGUCUACUUACUUAGCUUUUUCUUCUUCUUUUCCUCUGUUUUAUCCUUUCUACCUUCAUAUCUUAGGAAUUGAGCGAGAAAAUCAUUAUCCCCACUGAACAACCCCAUCUCCAAUGCCUUGGUCCGCUAGGUGACCCAGAUCCUACCGAUUUGAUUACUGCAGAAACCAAUAGGAUUCCUUUUAGGGCCGAAAACUUUUAUUUAGAUCUGUGGAAGGAUACCUUCCCAUCUUGGCUAAACCCCACCAAAGGAUGGAAGGACUGGUUUCUGAGGGUUAGCAACACAAAUGAAGUAUCCUGGGGUGAACGCAAAAUAGACCAGUGCAUCAGGUUGUCCAUUGUCAAUAUGGAAAGAAAUGAAUCAAUGCUGAUAGCUACUUCAUAUUUCUGGUCGGACAUGUUCAACGCCUUUAUUUUCGGCCAUGGCCCAGGUUCUCCCAUGCUUGCCGAUGUAUUCAUGCUCACCGGCUUGGAUAUUGCAACUGCUGGUGACGGCCAGCUAUUCGGCCGCAAAGCCGAACGCAAAGUAGAGACCCACAACAUCGGCGGUUAGUCAGGGUACAUUCAGAAGUAUCAAAGUACAGGACCAGUUGGUCAGCGAUAACAUGCCACUUUUCUGAAUAUGUGGCUAGAAAAAUUUAUCUUCUAUAGCCGAUCAGUAGGACUCCAUCUACUUAUCGGCAGGAGAAAGAUUAGCCGAUGGUGGCCGAUUCCCUCUUGGCCGAUACCUGUUAGGCUCUGUCUAUCACCUCCUCCAUCAAGUAACAGAGAAACUUCUGCUAGGUGAACCCAUCGGCAAUCUAUUAGGCCUUUGGUGGUUCAUCAACAUGUGGCUCAAUGUUCAUAUGCACAAACGCCUUCGGUUUGAUUUCUUUGCACAGCAAUUCCCCAAAGAUAUCGCCGAAGAUUAUGAACUGGCCGAUGAUGAAUCGGCAACUCGCUCACCCCUCAAUUAUGGUGAAGCUGUUAUAGUUCUCCGUAGCACCACUUCCAACGAAAACCAGGUCGGCUGAUUCUUCCAAACCCUGUAUGAUGGCAUUUCCAAAGAUCAGCGAGCAUGGAUGCCUUAUGAAGAUCCAGAAAUGAGGUUCCCGCUCACCUUCCACCUGUUUGACAAUGCUCUCAACAAAAAUAAUGAUUUGAUGACGGCAAUCAUCACCCCGAGAGCAAUUCCAGUGAAUAGCUUUGGCAGCGGGAAGAACAUCAACACCACCUAUGAGUUUUACAACCCAUCGGCACUGGCCCACCAACUGGCUUUUGGUCAACUGCCAAUCAGACUUUGCUAUGCCGAUGUGGUAAAACCAAGAGAGACAAUAACCAGCGGAGUUGAGUGGAUCUGGAUAGCUCAACUCUAGCCAAAUGUCGAUAUGACAGACAUCGAUCUAUCGGCCUGGGUUCCAGCUCUCUUCAUUACUCAGUUGUACAAACAUUGGUGGGAAGAAUGGAAGGAGCAUCUGUUCAGGGUAUCGGCUCAUACAUAUCACGGCAUGAUCGACUCCGACCAUAAAGUCCCCGAAAACAUUGUAAGUCCUUUACCGAUACCUCAGUUCCAUUAUUAUCUUUAACCUUAUCGGCAACUUAUUUAUUCUCGUUUUGUUGACACUGUUUUUGGACACGUAUCUGGGAAGUUAAUGAAACAUGGAUCGACAGGAGAAAAAGAAAUGACUGGUUGAUAGAGGAGUUGUCGAUGGUAAAGCAGGAGAAUAUGGCCAAGUCCAGGUGUAAUGAUUGAUCUAUGCCGAUGGCUGAUGUUAACAAUUGUCGAUGCCGAUGGAGGAUGAUGUCCGAUGAUAGUGGAGGAGGGUGUAGGAAUUGUUGAGAAAAUGGUGGUAGUGUGUCGAUUGCCUAGGAUCGGUAGAUUAAUGAUUUCCAUAGUUAUUAGACUUUGUUUUGUAUACGGAUUCUGCUUAGUUUGGAAUUAGAAUCCUAGUCAUACCUGGUUGUAACUCUUUAGGACAGGGUAUAAAUAUGGACCUGGUAGCAAUGUAAGAAGAACAACACAAUCAAUCAAACACAAGUUUUUACAUAUAUUCUUGUAUCUACUUUCGACGACUUUGUCAACUCGCAUAUUUUCUCUUUACUUACGAGUUCUUAGGAGUUCAUUGGGUCAAACUCGACGAAUUCUCAAGUUCUGCGUGAAUACCUCUUGGCCGUGGCAUCCGGGCGCAUCGCUGUUGUCAGAACCAAAGUAUUCGAGUUAUCACCUUUGUCGGUUGUAAGGUCAAAUCGGCUGGCAUACCUUAACGUUUGAAUCGGCUAUUAGCCCUUUGUGUUUGCAGAUUCACUUUUGCACCAACACAUCUUUUGGCACGCGCGGUGGGACCUAGAUUCAUCUUCAAGAUCAACAUGUCGAAUAUUGAUUUCGAUACAGAGAACAUCAUUGCCGUAACUGAAGCCAAUCUCAGAGAUGAGCAGAAGCAAGCUAUGGCAAAAGCUAUGGAGGAAUACAAGCAGCUAUGUUUGAAGUCCUUUAGUGUCAACAGGAGCGGCGAGGUGAUCCAAAAGGAAGCAUUGCUGAUGCCUCGGCAAGUCACUUUUGAAGCCAAUCCUGGUAAAUUGCAAGAGAUGGUUGACAAUGCUAUUAAUCGUGCUUUAAUCAAUCAAUCCAGUGUGCUGUCCAAUACUGUAUUCAAUGCUGUGGCUAGAACCUUCAAAGAGGGACAAAUACCACCAUCUUAUGUGGGCCCGGCCUAUCAUCAGCCAGGAUCAUCAUCGGUUAUGGCUUCAUCGGCUCCUCCUGCCGUUGCGGGUACAGAAGUUACUUCUCCUCCAAGCACAUUAGGGAUGACUAUUGGGUAAUCUAAACCGAUGAGGACUAAUCCAGCAACAUCAGAGGGACAAGUUCAACUUGCUACAGAUCUAUUGGCGUCGGUGAUGUCAAGAUCCGUAUUCCAAAAUUGUCAAGUUCCUCCCAACUAGUGGGGAUAUGGUAUGCCCCCGGACCUUGUUGCAAAUAGUUCCGAGACAUCUCAAGUGGCUGACGUGACAGGCAAGGCUCCUAUGACAUCAGCACCUCUAGUGUCGCUGAUGACUCAGAAUCCCCAGUAUUCUACAACUACUACUGCGAGGCCUCUUACUGGAAAUUUUCAGAUGCCAACAUUCUAGAUGCCUAAGCAUCGGCAGAUCCACUACCGACGCAUCAAAGGUUUAUGACUUAGACAGGGUAUGUCAACCCAAUGAUGACACCCAACUAUCAGCCAUCGGCAGGGCCUACGCCGAUGAAUGUUAACAAUGGAUGGACAGGGUAGUUUGUAUUUCCACAAAUGGCUCAGCAGAAUCAUCAGGCUACGGGAUUCCAGCAGGGACAGGUGCAACUUGGUUUUCAGAAUCAAGGACCAGUCAAUCAGCCGAUGAAUCUCGCUAAGCAGGUCAGUGGCCAAUAGGCUGUGGCUAAUGCUAUGUUUCCUGGAGAUCGUGCACAUCAGAGACAUGUGGAUGCUUAUCCGUAGGUGCCAGAUCCACAACCCACACAUCGGCAGGAUGCCGAUGCAUAUUGGGCUGAUAAGAUAGCUGAAGUAAUGAGGGAUCAGUUUGGGAUAAAACCCAAAGUCAAUACUUACUCUUAUCGGACACCAUACCCUCCUGUAUAUGACUUAAUCCCACUUCCAAAUCGGUACAAAGUGCCAGACUUUACCGAAUUCUUUGGACAAGAUGACACGUCGACCAUGGAAUAUGUUAAUAGGUUCAUCAUCCAAUGUGGAGAAGCUGCUAACAGAGAUGAGUUAAGAGUUCGUUUAUUCUCAUCAUCUUUGUCUGGAUCGGACUUCACUUGGUUUAUUUCAUUACCUCCAAACUCAGUAAUUACUUGGGCCGAUCCAGAGAAGCAGUUUCAUAAAUACUUCUUUUCUGGAGUCCAUGAGAAAAAGAUUACCGAUUUAGUCAGGUUGAGGCAACGCAAUGAUAAAUCGGUUGAAAGUUUUGUACAGAGGUUGCGGGAUGUCAAGAACAAAUGGUAUAGUUUGGUUCUGGAUGAUUGGCAGCUAGCCGAUUUGGCUUUCCAAGGAUUGUUGCCACAUAUCAAAGACAAGUAUGCGUCUCAAGAGUUUGAAAGUCUAAUUCAUUUGGUGCAGAGGAUUCUGAUCAAGAUAUCAAGGCUUUUGAACCUUGGAAAGCUUGAAACAAGAAAGUGUCAUUUGUUGAUGAGGUAACAAGUUCAGAUUCUGAUGAAGAACCAGUCAUCGGCUUGGCAGAAUGGGUGAAGAAAUUAAACUCAAUGUCUUGUCCUUUUGGCUAUAAAGAGCCACAAAAGUUUGCUUUUGACAUCACAAAAGCUGAUAGGACAUUUAACAUUCUGCUAUAGGAGGGGCAAAUUAAAUUGUCACCCAACCAUGUGAUUCCAUCGGUAGAAGAAUUUAAGAAGAUCAAGUAUUGCAAGUGGCAUAAUGCAACGUCUCAUAGUACAAAUGAAUGCAAGGUGUUCAGACAGCAGUUGCAAUCGGCUAUAGAGUCUAGGAGGAUUAAAUUUGAUAGCUCCAAAGCUCAGAAGCUGAUGAAGAUUGAUCAACACCCUUUCCCUACAAACAUGCUGUACGCUAAGGGAAAGACUAAAGUCCUAACGUCGGAAGCAGCUGAGAAGAGCGCAUCGGUAGACCCCCAACAUCAUAUCACUACCGAUGACGCCAAUGGCAAGGGCUUGAUCCAAGAAGGCACCAGUUCUGGAAGACCUCCUCGAUCCAGCAUUGUGAUUACUUAUAGGAGGCAUCGGGAAACAUGGCAGCAGCGUGAAGAUCGGUAUCGCCGCCAACAAGAGGAUCGAUGCCGAGAAGAAGAAAGGCGCCGACAAGAGUGGAAUCGGCAUAAAAGAUCAUUUGAAUUGCCCGUUCUUCAUCCACUGUUGGGAGCAAAACAUCAAGUUACCAACUGUUAGAGACUGCCCUGAGUGCAAUCGUUAUAAUCGACAUGAUAAACCAAAUCAGCGAUAUCAAGACGAUGAUGAGCAUUUUAAUGGGCCGAUUAGGGGAAGGACAUCAGUUUACGAUCGGCUGGGGGGCAGGCUCAGUGUGCAUGAUAAGCUUGGUGAAUGUGUCAGCUAUUUUCCUAGAAACCAAGAGGAACUUGAAGAGAUGGCAAAUGCACGGGUUCCUGAUGAGUUUAUAUUUUGCAGAGAUGCUAAUACCUAUCGGAUGGAAUCAAGGGAGGUUCGCUAUCAACCAGUGCGGAGAACACAGCUUCCCCCAUGGUGUCAAGGAGGCUUGACGAGGACACAGAAAAGGAGGCUACAGCGAGAGCGACAAGAAGAAUUGAAUAAGGAAGAAAAUUCUUCUAAAUCUGAAAAUCGGCAGCAGUCAGAUCACAAGGGAAAAGGGCCAUCGGCAGACGUUAACAUGGUAUUUAUGUUGCCGAUGGAAUUUCUCGCACCAUUUAGUGAUGAUGAGGAGGUAGAUUUUCCUAAUCAGAUAGCCCAGUUGGCCCUUAACCCAAUGACAGCUAUGUUCGAGAAACCCUCUGAUGAUGAAAGGCAGCAUCUCAAAGCUUUAUUUGUUAAAGGCAGGGUUGAUGGGCAACCGAUGACCAAGAUACUCAUUGACGGCGGGGCUGCUAUCAACAUUAUGUCGUAUACAAUCUAUCAAAAACUUGGCAAAGGGGAUCAGGAUUUGACCAAAACUGGUAUGAUGUUGAAAGACUUCGACGGAAAUGUAUCUCCAGUCAAGGGGGCUGCGUGUGUUGAGUUAACCAUUGGCAGCAAGACUUUGCCAACAACUUUCUUUGUCAUCAGUGGAAAAGGUGCCUACAAUUUACUAUUGGGGAGAGACUGGAUUCAUGCCAACUGUUGUAUUCCUUCUACGAUGCACCAAUGCUUGGUUCAGUAGGUAGGUGACAAGAUUGAAAUAGUCCCAGGAGAUUCUUCAUAUGUCAUUGCAUCGGUAGAAUCAGGUACUUAUGAGAGGACCAGAUGUAUUUUAGGAGAAGUUUGGGAGAAAGAUUUUCUCAAAGUUGCUGAUUAUGAAAUUCCAUCGAUCCAAGCAGUCGGUUCUGAUGAAGGGUUUUAAUGGAUAGGUUCACCGAUGAUGGAAAAUUAGGUCAGGGGUUUACAUCGGCUGAUGAUCUGGUAGAAGUAGAUAUAGGUAAUGGUGAUAGGCCAACGCCUACUUUUAUUAGUGCUAAGUUACAUUCUGAGUGUAAGCAACAAUUAACCGAUUUGUUAAAGAAAUAUAAAGAUUGCUUUCCUUGGGAUUAUACCGAGAUGCCUGGUUUAGACCGAUCGAUCGUUGAACAUCGGUUACCUAUCAAGUCUAGGUUUCGGCCGCAUCAGCAGCCACCACGCUGAUGCAAUCCUAAUAUUUUUCCUGAUAUUAAGUCCGAAAUAACUAAACUUAUUGAAGCUAAAUUUAUUUGGCAGUGUCGGUGUAACACCCCAGUGUUAUGGUUGCAUAAGUCACAUGCAUAACAUGAGCAUUAUCAUCUACUGAAGCAUUCCAUGAUCAUCAUCUACCUUGAGCCAUGUCAAUUUAUACUUAAGUAUGCUUUAAUUUGAUUAAUCAUGCUCCCUAUGCUUGUGUUGGUGUGUACCAUGCUUAUGUUUGUGUGCUAUGCCUUGGUAAUUAGUUUAAUUAUGCUUAACUCAACCUUAGGAGCAAUGUUCAUGUUGAUCACUUCUCCAAAAUAAUCACCUAAGGCAUACUUACAUGUAUAACCCUUAGAAACCUCUUUUGCUUAGGCUUUUAAAAAGUGUUUCAUAAAAUAUUUUCAUGUCACAACAUUCUACAGCAAAGUUGUAGCAAAUUUUAUAAGGAACAAAAGAUGUUUUAUGGCCAUCUCUUGAAAAUGACCACAUCUAGCUCAAAAGUGACCCACAAGUCUAGGAUCACAGCAGUUUGCUCGAGGGUAUGUUGCUUAGCUUCCAGUUUGAAUUCUGGGCCGAGCAAACCUUAAUCUUGUAAGAAAUGUUGGAGUCCUCAUGUAGCUCUACAGCAUAGAACAAUUAGCCAGCAAAAUCAUCAAGUGGUUUAGAAGUUAAGCGCGGUGAAAAAUCGAGUUUCAGUCGGGAUCAACGAUUGAAUGGGGUCGCCAUCAGCAGAGGGGAGCUCACCGGUGACGCCGCGUGUCUGGACCCGUGGCGUCCGUACGUCGCUGUUGGCCCCGCUCGUCUGUCCUCGGCGUGUCCUACAGCUCGCCACGGCGCCCCCGGUCACGUGGACAGCGCCAUUCCACCCCGGUUCGCUCUCUCUCGCGUGCGUCGUCUUCUCCGCGUCGCUGCCGCUGCUUCGGCGAGCUCGCGUGUUCGCGUCUCAGCGUCUCCGGCCAAGCGACUCCGCCCAACGCUCCGCUAGCUUCUCCACAACGCCGUCGUCAAGUUGGCUACGGCUGCCGAGCCUCGGUAAGCCCGCAUUGUCUUCUCCAUCGCGAUCUCACCUCACCGGAGCUCCGCCAUGGUCACCGGCGUCGUGGCUAGGGCUCUGUAGUCCGCCAUUUCGCUUCAUUCUUGUCCCAAAAGCUCCGCUAGGUCGUGCUGAUGCUCGGCCGAGCUCUCUUUCGCCCUGUCUCCGACCAGAGACGCCAGCGGUCGGCCGCGCACUACCGCCGUGCCGCCAUUCGCGAGGGCGAGGUACCUAGGGUCCGGUAGAGUUAGGGUUUUGGGUACCAUUCGAUGCGGAAUGGAGCGAGGAGCACGAUGGCGCCCUUGGCCAUCGCCGAGACCUCACCGUUGACGAGAUCUCCGGCGGUCAAGUCACACCUCUGCUCUUGGGUCGCUGACGUGUGGGGUCCCUUGACUUGCGGGGUCCCCCUGUCAGCCUCUCAUUCUCCUUUGUUUGACUUAGGGUUUGAGCUGUUUCUGCAAAAAUCAUAUUUCUGGUUCCUGUGAUCCAAAAAUUGUGAAACCAAUUUUGUGAUGUUCCUUGAGAUGGCUAGUUUUUAAAAAAAAUAUAAAAUGAACCAUGUUCUCUGGGAAAAGUAAUUAUUAGGAUUUAAUCUUGUUAAUUAUGUAUAAAUUCAUAUCUCUUGAUAUAUUGCUCCUUUUGCUAUGAAAUUUUUAUGCUAGGCUCUGAGUGGUAUGAGAAUGCUGUGAUAAAUAUUUCAUGAUUUUUGUAUUGAUAUAUCUGUGAUAUGUAAUUUAUGUUGAUUCUGUAACACCCUAGGUGUUAAGCAUGCACUUAGUCUCAUUAAAACAUUCAUAAGCAUUCUCAUCAAGCAUAGCAUCACAUAAGCAUGUCAUCCAUUCCAAGUAUGAUUUCAUGUGCUUCAUCCCAUGUGAUUUAAAUAUGUUAAAAAUAUGAUGCUUGCUUCUAAAAUUGUGAAAUAUUCAAACUAAGUUGGAUUGUGUGCAAAAAGAAUUGAGAAUAUUUUUGUGCAAUUUUUGGAGCCAUAGAAUUUGAGAAAUAGAAUUUAUACAAAAAUCCCCAAAAUAGAUUUAUUUGAAAACCUAGAACUAGUUUUAAUUUGUAAUUCAAAUUCUAUUUGGAAUUUGGUCUUGCUUAUUAAAACAAAGUGGUAGAGUUUUUGUUUUGGAACAACUUUACUUUUGGGGGAAAAGGGUGAAAAUGAUUUUUAAAUAUUCCAAAUGAAUUUAUAAAGAAAUUGAGAAAAAGAAAUUCAAAAAAAAAAUAGAAAAGGGGACAGGCGCUGCUGGGCCAACCCCACCUCCCUUUCGGCCCAGCCAGCAGCCCAGCAUACCUCCCCCUCCCCUCUCUCCCGCGCGCGGCGCCCGCCUCGCCCCAUCCAGCGACGGCCACGUGGCGGCCGUACGCCGGCGUUGGGCGCGCCGCGGCCAGCCACCUCCACCCCCCUGGUCGGGAUGCCAACCCGCGCCCCUAGAACCCUUCCUCCAUUCUGUCGCCCGCGCCUCUCCCUCCUCCCUCUGUCCGCGCAGCAGCAGCAGCAGCAGUCCCGCCGUGCGCCAUUGUUGGAGAAAGCCCCGCCGCUCGCCGCCGACCGCACCAGAGCUUCAACCUCGACGCCAAGAGCACCAGCGCACUCGCCGUCACCGCGGUAAGCCCCUGCGUGCGCUCUACCGAGGUGAGAAGCAGCCGUGCGCCGUGAAUCGCUCGCCGGAGUUGCUCCGACCUCACCGGAGUGCUCCACCGCGACGGAUCUUGCAAAAUCCUGCCUUUUUCGCUCAUGCUUUGAUGCGCUAGGUCGGUCGUGAGGUGAGGAAGCUCGUAGGGUUGUUUGCGCGCGCUCUACCGCACCGGAGCGGCCUGGCCACGGCGAGCAGCACCGCCGUGCCUCCAUGCACGCUCGUCGGAGGUGCUCCAGUCAUCCUCCGGCCAAUCUGAGGGUACCCCUGGAUGCGCCUCGCUGCAGGGAGCACGCUGGUGCUCACCCCAUGGCCGGAGACCUCGCCGUCGAUGAGAGCCGGCCGGCCGAAGCUCGGCCGGUGUGUUGCACGGCUGACCCGUGGGGUCACGGCCCUGGAUCCCACCUGUCAGUGCCUCUGCGGGUGUUGAUCUGGGUGAGUUUAGCUUUCUGCGUCGGUUUUCUUAAAUAAAUGUUUUUCAGAAAUUGAUUUAAAAAUUGUAAAAUCCAUAUCUUGGGUUCCACAGCUCCAAAUCUGGUGAAAUAAAUUUUGGUGUGCUCUCUAUUUUCAGAUCUACAGUUUGAUGUAAUUGCAUGUCAUGUUUGAACACUUUUUCUGGACAGAAAUAAUUAAUCCAUGUUUUUGCUGGAUUUGAAUAAUGUAUAGUAAUUAAAAUAUGACUCAGAAAAAUGUGAAACUUGUUUUGCAGACGCUGCAUGUAUGUUUAGUCACUGGGAAAAUGUUGCUACACAUUAUUUGGUGUAUAAAUGAAUUUAUAGUGAUUUAAAGGCUUGCAUGGCAGUGGUUUAUGUUUUUUAAUAAAUAUUUGGAUCAUGCAAUUUAUCUGAGAAUUUUUGUGGGUGUUUCUUAUGAUAUUAGGCAAAUUAUAAAAAUAUGAAAUCUGCUGUUUGACACUUAUACCAUAGUAGAGUAAUUGUACUUGCCCUUAUUAAUUAAUCUUGUGAUUUUUGUAGCUCAAAAUAAGUGUCCAAAAAUUAUGAAAAUUUUAUGGUGGACUUUAUGCUUGACUGGUAGUCUCCUGUAAUUUUUGUGGAAUUUAUUGAUGAACAGAAAUGCAUGCUAUUUUUGAGGGGUCUAAAAAUGAAUAAAGAAAUUAUGAAUUGUUAUAUGGGUUAAAUAGAAUAAAAAGGGGUUUGGUGUAUCUUUGAAGCAUCUUGUGAGUUGCUGGUUACACUUGAAGAUAAUUUGUAGAAGAGAAUGCAUUAGAUGUUUAAUUCAAUUGCAUGUUCUUGGAUGAUGUUGACUACCUUAUAAAUGACCACAUAAAACAUCCAUACAUCAUGUCAUAAUCAUCUGGUAUUCUCUCGCAUGAGCAUUGCACCCCGGGCAUCUCGCACUCUACUCAUAAGCACACAUGCAUCAUAUAGGCUCGCAAGAGAACGAGGUGAAACCCGAGGAGCAGGAGGAAGUGCAGGAGCAGGGGCCUCUUGGAGCACCGAAACCCGGAGAAGAGCUGCAGGAGUGCCCGGAUCACAGACCCAGCACGUUUGAGAAAGGCAAGCCCCGGAGCAUUCUACGCCUCCCUAUUCUCGCUAACUUACAUAAUAUAUUAUGCUUGUUCUACUAUACUGCAUUUAAGUGAUAGGAAUUGGUUGAUACCGUUGAUGCAUAUGUACUCUUUGAUAUCACCAUCUGUUUAUCUACCUUGUCCUAUGUAGAUAGGCACGGAGUCUAUGCUUAGCUUGCUUAGUCCGGUAGAAGUCGGGUGAUUUCCUGUCACCUGCGAGAUAUAGGUGGAUACCUGCUUGAUUAAGCAGUGAUUGCUUUGGGAAAAGGAUAACCAAGUGUGGAAUGGAAUUUGAGACUGGGCAGGGUCUUAUGGUGGGUUGACUAUAGUGCCCCUGCAUGUGUCGAUUAAGGACCGAUCGUUGACGGCCCUCUUGUCAUGUUGAACGCAUGCCCCACACUUAGCUGGAAGGAUAAGUCGUUCCGACCGCGAAGCCUGAACACUAUCCGGGCCGAGAGUCGAGCCGCCAUGUGAUGUAUUGGUGAUGGUUCAGGAGAACGACGAGGGCGCGGCACGCAACCUUGGUAUAGCUUGGAUACCUCGGUCGCCGGAACGGUCCUGGAGGUACUAGCGGUGCCUGCCGAACCCGCGAAUUGGUCCUGGAUAGUGUAAUACGGUGAUCUGUAGCUCACUUGAUCAGUGAGUGUGGUUUGUGUGGGGAAUACCUCGCCAGCUGGUUAGAAAUCGAUUCGAAUCGCCAUCGCUCCUGGAUAGUGAGCACUUGACAUGAGCCAUGUCCUCGUAGUAAGGACUAUGGAACACUUGGGUUAUAAUGAUACCUGGUUUUAUGAAUGCUAUGAUGAGGUACCAUCAUAUCACUAUACUUGCUUGAAAUAGUGCAGGUGCAAACCUAGAUAAUAGGUAAUGAUAUUUUCAACUUGAGCAAAUUAAAAGGAGAAAGAUUUCUAUAGGAUAUGUUAAUAGAAUCUUGCGGGUUAUGCAAAAAGGUUGUCAGCUACCCCACUAUAUAGCCUUCAUGAUCCUUGAAGAGUCUUUAUUUUAAUUUAUGACGGGUAAGUCUAGCUGAGUACAUUCUCGUACUUAGGGUUCUACUCCCAUGUUGUUUUGCAGAUGGUCAAAUGUACUAUGGUUAUUGCAUCCUCUGCCUGUACCCAGCCAUGGGUGAUGACUAGACCAAGGGCGAUGGUCACUCCGUCUUUUCUUUUGCUAUUGUGGGAAUGACCAAAACUAUGGCACUGUAUCAGACUAAGUGUGUGUGUGUUAUUUUCGAACUAUGAAGCUUCCGCUACCUGUGAACUUGGUUUGUAAUAACUUUUAAGCACUCCGAUGUUUUCGAUGAAUGUUUUCGAACUGGAUGUUACUGUGAAUGGUGACCGCUGAACUUAUUACGAUCCUGGCUGUAUGUACGAUAUGUGGUUUGAAAUCCUUCGAGAUUUCACGGACUACCGGGAUUAUAUGGGUUUAAGCUGGAUGGUUUGACUGUGCAAAUGGUCGCUAUCGGGCUUAACCUCUUAUAAUUUGAGCGGUUCUGUUACAGAUUCUAUGGCUUGUUUUCUUAUUUAAAUCAUAGUAUAUAAUUAGUUCUUAUGCUGGUGCUCUACUUUGGUGUCAAACUUGCUUAUGGUAUUAGUAACAUGUAGAUAAUCUGAUAUUUGUUGUUUGACACUAUAUAAGCCAUGUUUCUUAAUUUGUGAAAUAAGCACCUUGAUACAUGUUAAAUAUUUAUCUUAAGUUUGGCAUGUGCAAUUGCUCUGAAAUGUUUAUGGUAAGGUCAAGAUGCCAUGCUUGUGCUUGUGUAAUUUUUAUAGAUAUUUCUGAGCACUUUUGCUAGUAUCUUGUAAUUAUGUCCCUUUAUAGAACUAAAUUAAUAAAUGCCUUGUUAUUAAGUGUUUUGGUGUUAACAUAUGUUGUUCUGGUAAUCUCAUAGUAUGUUUGUGCUUAUAAGUUGUGUGGUGGACACUGAGUAUAUUUUGGCUAUGUCAUUAAAUAAUUAAUUGAAGGUUUAUAGCUGUUCUGGACAGCAAGGAAAUAAUUCAACCUUUGCAUAUUCAUAACUUGGUUUUCUGGAAGACUUGUCUAAAUCAAAGUUGUUGUAAACUUUAUGAACUAGCUGUGGUUUAAAUUUGGGAUCAUUUGGUCUAGUAGUUUUGAAGUUAUGGCUUUUUCAAGUUAGGUUCCAAAAAUAGGUGUUCUCUGUUUUUCUGGGACAGAACCUGGGACUUUGUUUAAAUGACUUGUAUAACUUGUGAAUGUUGUUGUAAUGUUUAAAGAUGAAUUGUAGACAAUUUCAUAAGCUUUCCAGAAUGUUCUAAUUUAUAUUUGUUGGAUCUUUAUAGCUAUAGUUAUGACCUGUUUACUGAGCUACUCUGUUAUGAAAUGCUUGCUGUUUAUAGUUAGACUUGUUAGGUCUUGCUAAGUUACUUGGUUAUCCCUUGUGGGUCUAUCUUGGGAGUUUACUCAGUAAAUGAGUGUCCAGUGAUGUCCUAAUUACUUUGUCAAGCAUUCAUCCCCGUCCAGCAUGCACCCGUUCUUACUUAUCAUGCAUGCAAUAGGUGCACCGGACGCGACAGCUUCUUUCGAGCUCCAGGUGAACCCCGAAGGUCACGAGGGCAAUUCGGAGGUGGAGGUCCAACUAGCCGGACUCGAGGAGCCCGAAGAGGAGGUUGAGUGCCCGAACCACGAGCCCGCAUCGUUCGUGAAAGGCAAGCCCCGGAGCAUCUUAAGUCUCCCACUUUAAUUUCGAAAGCUUACUUGAUUAUGUUAUAUCUAUUGAUGCAUUACGUAUAGGAGUUGUGAUGAAACCCUUGCUGCAUGUUACUCAAUCCUUGUCCAGAUAUCUUACCACUACCUGGUUGUAGAGUUAGGAUCGAGUAGCAGCUUAGCCAUGCUUUAAUCGGUAGAAGUCGGGUGAUAUCCUAUCACCUGCGCGAUAUAGGGUUGUGUCGGAUCACGAUUGACUAUAUGUGCUAUUGUGGUUGGAACCUGAUUAAAUUGACUUAAGCCGGGUGGAGUUUUGCAAGGUUGUAGUAACUCCGUCUGUGGCAGCUAAGGACCGACCGUUGUACGUCCUCUUGUCAUGUUGAACGCAUGCCUAACACUUAGUUGGCCGGAUAACUCGUUCCGACCGCGAAGCCUAGUAGUAUGACUCAGGUCGGAAGACCAGCAAGUAUAAAGUGCGCACUACCGGAGGAAGUGCGGUGUGUGGGGGACCAUUGGCCUAAGACCAAAGGCAGGUGAGUUAAAAUUCCUGACCUCUCUGGUAGAGUGGUAGCCCUGGGAGUGCGGCGCUGAUCUGAGCCGCAAUUCCUGAGUCGUACCAAAGGUGACCCGCUGGUUCUCCGACGGGGGAUGCUUGGGUGAGUGCUAUGAAUAACCCUCCAGCUGGAUAGGAAUCGAUUCAAAUCGUCGUCUCUCCUAGAUAGUGAGAACUUGACAGAGCAGCGGCAAACGUAGCAUCCACUAAAGAACAAUGGUUCGUGAUAAUGAUGAUAGCAAGGAAAAACAUUUGAUGAACUUGAUAUGGUUAUUAUUGCUUGUAAUAAUCAAGUGAUGUGUUUUAGUACAGGUGCUAAUCUAGUGGUAGGUGAAUGAUGAUCAAUAUGAUGCUAAUACCAAUUUGUAGGUAAUUAAUUAAGCUUUUGGCAAAUAUUGAGUCAAGCCAGCCACACUUACUCUCAAAAUUGCAUGAUCCUUGGUGUCUUUUAUGUUUUACUAGACGGGUAAGUCUAGCUGAGUACAUCCUCGUACUCAGGGUUUAUUCCAACCUGUAGCAGAUGAUAUCUUUUAUGAUGGCUUCUGCAAGACAUGUCUCUAUCCCGCUGGGGAUGAGGACUAAACCGUUGGGCACGGUUCUCUAACUACUUCGUUCCUGUUGCUUUUGGAUGGAUGGUAUGAGACCCUGGCCAAACAAGAACUUGUGAAAUGAACUUUGAAGUAUGUGUUGUAAAGUAUUUUGCUUCCGCUACUACGAACAUGUGUUGUAAUAACUAUGUAACUUCGAUGUGGUGCCGCUUCGAUGGCAAUGCAUGACUUUGUAACAUUCGCUAUGUAUGUUGAACUAUUACGAUCAUGGUUUGUUGCAAGUUGGUUUGAAGUCCUUCGUGAUUUCAGUUGACUACCGAGAUUAUAUGGGCUCAAGUUUGGAAACUUGAUUGCUUGUCCAUCGUUUCUACACUUGAACUCUUAUAAUUUGGUCGGUUCCGUGACAGUCGGUAUGCCGAAUGGAUUUCCAAUGUUGUCCCCGUUUACAAGAAGAAUGGAAAACUUCGUGUCUGCAUUGACUUUAGGAACCUCAAUAAGGCUACCCCGAUGGAUGGUUCUCCAAUGUCGGUUGCUGAUUUGUUGGUUGACGCUGCAGCUGGGCAUCGGAUCGUUAGCUUUAUGGAUGGCAAUGCAGGAUACAAUCAAAUAUUCAUGGCUGAGGAGGAUAUUCCCAAGACUGCAUUUAGAUGUUCUGGUCAUGUUGGACUGUUUGAAUGGAUAGUCAUGACCUUUGGCUUGAAGAAUGCUGGUGCUACUUAUCAGAGGGCUAUGAAUUUUAUCUUUCAUAAGUUCAUCGGCAAGCAGGUGGAAAUCUAUAUUGAUGACGUGGUGGUUAAGUCUGGAGAUUUCACAAAGCAUCUAGCCGAUCUGUGAAAGGUGUUAGAGUGCACAAGGAAGCAUGGUUUGAAGAUGAAUCCUAAUAAAUGUGCAUUUGGUGUAUCGGCAGGACAAUUUCUUGGUUUCAUGGUGCAUCAAAGAGGGAUUGAAAUUAGUAGGAGAUCCAUUGAUGCCAUCAACAAGAUAGUUGCUCCCACCAAUAAAACUGAACUUCAAUCGUUGAUCGGCAAGGUAAAUUUCAUCAGACGAUUUAUAUCUAAUUUGUCUGGUAAGAUUCGUGCUUUUAGUCCUUUGCUUAAGUUAAAAGCCGAUCAACAAUUUGUGUGGGGGAAAGAGCAACAGUUAGCAUUGGAUGAGAUCAAGAAUUAUUUGACAAGUCCUCCAGUUUUGAUUCUACCUCAACAAGGAAAGCCUUUUAGUUUAUAUUUGUCUACCGAUGGGAUGGUCAUCGGUUCAGCUCUAAUUCAAGAAUUUGAAGGAAAAGAGCGUGUAAUUUAUUAUCUAAGUAGAAGAUUGGUGGAUGUUGAAACAAGGUAUUCGGCAAUUGAGAAAAUAUGCUUAUGUUUAUACUUUUCAUGCAUCAAAUUGAGACACUAUUUGUUAUCGGUCGAAUGCACUGUUAUAUGCAAAGAUGAUGUAGUCUGAUACAUGUUAUCAAUGCCGAUUAUGAGUGGUAGAAUCGGCAAGUGGAUAUUAGCAUUGUCGGAAUUUGAUCUACACUAUGAGUCGGCUAAGGCAAUUAAAGGGUAGAUUAUGGCCGAUUUUGUAACUCAGCACUGCGGUGUAGUGGGUGCUUUGGAAAUCGUUCCUUGGACGCUCUUCUUUGAUGGAUCUACAUGUGACUGGGGGGCAGGAAUCGGCAUAGUGCUAAUUUCUCCUCGAGGAAAGAAAUAUGAGUUUUCUUUGCUGAUUGUUGCCACGUCAAUGAAUAAUCAAGCUAAGUACCAUGCUUUGAUCAAAGGGUUGGAAUUAUUAAAGGAGGUUCAUGCCGAUGCUGUUGAAAUCUUCGGCGAUUUUAUGCUUGUUGUAAAUCAGUUGGCUGGAUUUUAUGAAUGCCGAAGCGAGUUUUGAUAACCUGCUAUGAAAGGUGCUUACAACUUUUAAUUGAAUUCUAGGAUUUCCGAUUAGAACAUAUUCCUCGGUUGCAUAAUGAAGAAGCCAACCGAUUGGUUCAUCAUGCUUCGGGGUAUCAACCCAUCUUGGGCAUGUUAUCGGUAGUCAAUGCUGAUGAUUGGAGAAAGGAAAUGAUUGAUUAUUUGAAGGAUCCGUCCAAGAAAGUUGAGAGGCGUGUUAGGUUUCAAGCCACAAAGUAUAUACUCCUUGAAGAAGAGUUGUAUUAUCGGACGGUAGAUGGAGUCUUGCUCAAGUGUUUGAGUGAUGAUGAAGCUAGAAGCUUAAUGGGUGAAAUUCAUGAAGGAGUAUGUGGAGCGCAUCAAUCGGCUUUCAAGAUGAAAUGGAUGAUCAGAAGAAACAGAUAUUAUUGACCGACUAUACUUGAAGAUUGCUUUAAAUAUUUCAAGGGAUGUCAAGGAUGUUAGAAGUUUGGCAAUAUUCAGGGAGCACCCGCAUCGGCUAUGAAUCCUAUUAUUAAACCUUGGCCGUUUCGGGGAUGGGCUAUUGAUCUCAUCGGAUAAAUUUAUCCGCCAUCAAGCAAGGGGCAUAAGUUUAUCUUAGUUGCCACUGAUUAUUUUACUAAAUGGGUUGAGGCUAUUCCUUUCAAGAAAGUAACAUUGGCUAAUAUGAUUGAUUUUGUAAAAGAAUAUAUUAUUUACCAAUUUGGUAUUCCCUAGACAAUUACUACCGACCAGGGUACUAUGUUUACAUCGGGAGAGUUUGAUGAAUUUGCAAUCGGUAUGGGAAUUAAAGUGUUGAAUUCUUCUCCUUAUUAUACUCAAGCUAAUGGACAGGCCGAAGCUUCUAACAAAGGGAUUAUUAAGCUUAUUAAGUGAAAAGUUGAAGAAAAUCCUAGGAGAUGGCAUACAUUGUUGAAUGAAGCUUUAUGGUCAUAUCGGAUGGCGUGUCAUGGAUCAACCAAAGUAUCACCUUAUCAGUUGGUGUAUGGGCACGAUGCGGUAUUGCCAUGGGAUAUUAAAAUUGGUUCGAGAUGGUUGUGUUUUCAAGAUCAAUUAACUGCCGAUGACUAUGCUACUUUGAUGAAGGAUGAGAUGGAUAAUUUGGCAGAGCACCGAUUGAGGGCUUUGAUAAACAUAGAAGAAAAUAAAAUGAGAGUUGCUAAAUGGUAUGAUAAAAAGGUGAAAGCCAAAGAGUUUGCUGAUGGGGAUUUGGUAUGGAAGUUAAUUCUACCGAUUGGGACUAAAAGUUCAAAAUUUGGGAAAUGGUCUCCUAAUUGGGAAGGUCCUUAUCGGAUAAGUCGGUCUGCUCCUAGCAAUGCUUAUAUUUUAGAAACUCUCGAAGGAGUCGAAUUUCCUAGGGCACUAAAUGGAAAAUAUUUAAAGAAGUACUACCCCACUAUCUGGAUUGAUGCAUGAAAGUUCAAAUGCUGAUAACACUUCUAUCGGCUAGAUGAAAUAUGUCUAGGAUCAUGCAUAAUGUUUAAGUGCCGAUAACAGUCCUAUCGCCUAGACCAAAAAUGAUUAGAAGUUUUCUGAGGGCAGAAUUGAACGAGUUGCCGAUGAAGAGUUCAUAGGUUCAGCAAAGCUUGAAUAGCCGAUAUGGCACGCAGACGGAUCUGGUUGGCCUCUUCUAUCUCUCGAAUAUCUUCAUCGGCAGAGCCCUCCACUGGCUUCAGCUUCUUCUUUAUCUGCAAUGCUUUAUGCGCUUGGACAUCUCGUUCUUGUUGAAGAGUUUUGAGCAUCUCAGGCAGCUGGCUUUAUUUUUGCUGGGCUUGAGUUAAGGCGUCUUCCACUUGCUUGAGUUUAGAUAGCAGGGAUUCUCUUCUUGCCGAUAGAUCAGAAAUCUUUUUCUUCAUCUCAUCCCCUAAGGACUGCAGAACACCGAUGCUCUUAUGUUUUUCAUCGGCGGUACGCUUCACUUGCAUCAUUUCCUCUGCGAGCUGAACAUGAGCAGCUCUAUCAGCAAGAUGUUGAGUGGCCUUCUGGUACUGGAGUUGACGGCUCUCUAAGUGGGCAGCCUGGAAAAGGAUUUCUUCUACAUCAGCUAGGAUCUGACCACGAAGAGUCUUGAAUAAAGCCUUGGCUAAAUCAGAAUCAUCUACCAGCUAGGCGGUAUCUUGGUGCAGCAGGGCCAAUAAGUCCUCCAAUUUAGCUUUGAUUUCUACCGAUGAGAUCUCGACUGCCUGAGAAGAACUGCUUCACCUUCGUCGUCGGAAAUUUCGAUGGCAAAGGAAGACAGACAGUCUGGAGAGUCUUGUUCCUAAAAAAAGAAGAAGAUGAGCUACUCGAAGAUUGAGUAUUGACAAUGUGAAAUUUGAAAAUCAAAUAACUUACUUGCUUCAGAAGAAUUUUAUGCCUCUGGCGUGGGGAUGCAGCCGGUGCUAUGGGUUGAUCGGCUGGAAUUGCCGAUGGAAUGACUUCAACUAUAAAGUUACAAAGAUGAUUAUAGUUUAUAAAUACAAAUUCAUCGGUAAUAAUUUUGUGAUCAGUACUUUACCUUGAGGGAGUACGGUGAUUGUCUGUUCCGCGAAACGGCCGAUGAUGUGCUCAGAUCAGCCGGGUCGGUGAUCUGCUCAGAAACAUCGGCUGGUGCUUCUUGUGGCUGAGGUGCUGGUCGAGGAGGAGAAGGUAUUUCUUGUGUUUGGACUUCUGGUGAAGAGGGGAUGAUGCUACCUGGAUCGGUGACACUGGACGAGGGGGAGAGGAUGGUGCUGUCUUCUGGUGCUUUGGCUGGGUCUUGGUACUUUUUGGACCCUUUCUCUUGGCCGGAGCUUGGCUGGGCUGGGGGGCAUUGGCACUUGACGUUUGAGCGCUUCUAGUCUUAGCCGAUUUGCCAGUUUGCUGUUGCAACAACCAAAAUUUCAUGAGUAAAAGCAUAAAAGAAUACUGAUGAAAUUUUGUUGAAAGAUAAAAUUACCGAUGAAGUUCCUGUUGCGGCCGAUGUGCCCUGAAAGAAUGAUGUGAGUGUAGGAUGAAAUCGAUGCAAGCAAAGGAAAUUAAGGAAUUUUACCGUGAAAACCUGUGCUAGGGUGGCAGCGGCUACCGAUGGGGAUAAUUUUGACCAUUUGGUGGUCGUCUUCUUGAAACGCACGUUGUGGUGCGUCAGAGCCACUAGACUUGGCACGUGGUGGCCAAUCAAAGAGAUUGGGCCUGAUUGAAGAAGAUCGAUCGGCUUCCCACUCCUGCUGAUUGUUGGCACUGGAUUAUCGACCUGUUGAAAUAAACAGAAAACAGAUAAGUUGCCGAUAGGAUCAGAAAUAACAGAAGGGUUGAAGUAUCGGUAGAAGACUUGCAAUGUCAUCGGGGACUUUGUAGUUGGGGUCAAUCAUGCCGCGGUAUGUGUGGGCCGAUGCGUUGAACAAGUGCUCCUUCCAUUCCUCCCACCAAUGUUUGUACAGCUGGGUAAUAAAGAGAGCUGGUACCUAGGCCGAAAGAUCGAUGUCCGUCGCAUCGACAUUUGGCUGAAGCUGAGCUAUCCUUAUGCACUCAUGGCCACUGGUUAUAAUCUCCCUUGGUUUCACCACAUCGGCAUAACAGAGUCUGAUCGGCAGUUGGCCAAAAGCUAGUUGGCGAGCUAGUGCCGAUGGGUUGUACAACUCAUAGGUGGGGUUGGUGUUUUUCCCACUACCAAAGGUGUUCACUGGGAUGACCCUCGGAGUGAUGAUUGCCAUCAUUAAGUCAUUAUCUUUAUUGAGAGCAUCGUCGAAAGGGUGGAAGGUGAGCGGGAACCUAGUUUCUGGAUCUUCGCAAGGCAUCCAUGCUCGCUGAUCUUUGGUAAGGCCAUCGUACAAGGUUUGGAAGAAUCGGCCGAUUUGGUUUUCAUUACAGCCGGUGCUGGGAAGAACUAUAGCAGCCUCACCAUAAUUGAGGGGUGGGCGAGUUGCCAAUUCAUCAUCGGUCAGUAAAUAAUCUUCGGCAAUAUCUCUGGGGAAUUGCUGUGCGAAGAAAUUGAACCGAAGGCGUUUGUGCAUGUGGACAUUAAGCCACAUGUUGAUGAACCACCAGGGGCCUCCUAGGUUGCCGAUGGGUUCACCUAACACGAGCUUCUCAGUCACUUGGUGGAGGAGGUGAUAAGCAGAACCUAGCAGGUAUCAGCUAAGAGGGAAUCGGCCACCAUCAGCUAACCUUUCUGCUACCGAUAAGUAGACGGAGGUUGGUCCUACCGAUCAGCCACAGAAGACGAACUUGUCCAGCCACAUGUUCAGAAAUGUGGCGUGUUCCCUUUGCCCAACUAGUCCUGUUCUCUGGUAUUUCUGGAUAUACCCUGACCAGCCGCCGAUGUUGCGGGUUUCAACUUUUCGUUCGGCUUUGCGGUCGAACAAAUGACCAUCAUUGGCAGUUGCAAUGUCUAAGCCAGUGAGCAUGAGUACAUCGGUAAGAGUGGGAGAAGCAGGGCCAUGGUUAAAAAGGAAAGCAUUGAGAGUAUCUGACCAGAAGUAUGAGGCGGCUAUCAGUAGUGAUUCAUUUCUAUCCAUAUCGGCAAUAGAUAGCCUGAUACACUGAUCUAGUUUGCGUUCACACCAGUGUACUUCAUUCGAAUUGCUGACUCUUAAGAACCAAUCCUUCCAUCCCUUGGUGGAACUUGGCCAGGAUCGAAAGGUAUCUUUCCAUAGAUCUAAUGAAAAAUUUUUGGCCCUAAAGGGUAUUCUAUUGGUUUCUGCGUUGAUCAAAUAAGUGGGAUCUGGGUCACCCAAUGGACCGAGGCAUUGGAGAUGAGGUUGCUCGGUGGGGAUGACAAUUUUUUCGCUCAAUUCCUAAAAGGUUUGAAGAUUGGAAGAACAGAGAAAAAGAAGAAAGAAAAUGCUAAGUCAGCAGACUUGCAAAAAGGUAAAAAGUACGAUAGAGAGAGGAAAGAUGGGAAUAGAUUAACCUUAGGGACGAUGAAGUUGACGGCCAUUUCUUCGGGGGGUAGAAGAAGACUGGAGACUUGAAGAACCGUUGGGGAAGAUUUUUGUUGAAGUUGUUGGGCUCUUCAACAAUGUCGCCGCUAGAGAGAUGGGUUUCGAGGAUGCAGGAUGACAAGGUGGAGAAAGAGUACCAAGGAAGGAAGUAUUUAUAGGGUAAAAUGAGCAGGGGCAUUUCUGACUUAUCUCUUUGCCAUAUCUAUGAAAUUUGAGGGUGUGUAGGUGGAUAUGGUAACUGUUCGCAUGGUAAUCAAGGGAUUGUACAAGUGAUUUGAUAGGAAGCGGUCAUGAUUUUAGGAGAUAUUUUACUGUGCGGGAUCUCCUGGUUGGCUCAUCGGCAGUCCACUCUAACGGAAAAGUUGCCGAUGAGCGGGUGUUUAGGAGAUUUGGUUCGAGCAGUUGAGAAAUUCGAGGUGCAUGCUGGAGAUCCGGGUUAAGGUUGUUUGGAUUUAGCAAUUAAUUGCUAUCAGAAGGAAAUAGUUGUGAAAAAUGAUGUCAUUAUUAGGAGAGAAUUUCGGAGCAUUAAUGACUUUAUACUCCGAAAUUGGGGGGCAUGUGUUGACACCGUUUUUGGACACGUAUCUGGGAAGUUAAUGAAAUGUGGAUCGGUAGGAGAAAAAGUAAUGACUGGUUGACAGAGGAGUUGCCGAUGGGUUAUGAUGCCGAUGGUAAAGCAGCAGAAUAUGGCCAAGUCUAGGUGUAAUGAUUGAUCUGUGCCGAUGGCUGAUGUUAACAAUUGCCGAUGCCGAUGGAGGAUGAUGUACCGAUGAUAGUGGAGGAGGGCGUAGGAAUCGUCGGGAAAAUGGUGGUAGUGUGCCGAUCGCCUAGGAUAGGUAGAUUAAUGAUUUCCAUAGUUAUUACAGUUUGUUUUGUAUACGGAUUCUGCUAAGUUUGGAAUUAGAAUCCUAGUCAUACCUGGUUGUAACUCUUUAGGACAGGGUAUAAAUAUGGACCUGAUAGCGAUGUAAGAAGAACAACACAAUCAAAGAAACACAAGUUUUUACAUAUAUUCUUGCAUCUACUUUCGACGACUUCGUCAACUCGCAUAUUUUCUCUUUACUUACGAGUUCUUAUGAGUUCAUUGGGUCAAACUCGACGAAUUCUCAAGUUCUACGUGAAUACCUCUUGGCCGUGGCAUCCGGGCGCAUCGCUGUUGUCAGGACCAAAGUAUUUGAGUUAUCACCAUUAUCGGUUGUAAGGUCAAAUCGGCUGGCACGCCUUAAUGUUUGAAUCGGGUAUUAGCCCUUUGUGUUUGCAGAUUCACUUUUGCACCAACACGUUUUAGUAGGUCGAUGACCUAGGGCUGACAAUUAGCAGAAGUGGGAGGCCGAUCGAACUUCUUCAAUCAGGCCCAAUUUCUCUGAUCGGCCGCAAUGCGCCAAGUCUAGCGACUCUGAUGCAUCGCAAUGUACGCUUCAAAAAGACGACCACCAAACUGUCGAAAACAUCUCCAUCGGUCGCUGCUGCCACUCUGGCACAGGCUUUUAAGGUAAACUCUUAAUUUUCUUUAUUUAUACCGAUUUCAUCCCAUACUCACAUUAUCUUUUCAGGGUACAUCGGCUGCAACGGGAACUUCAUCGGUAACUUUUAUUCUUUAGCAAAAAACUCCACCAAUAUCCUUUUAUAUUUCAACUCAUGACAUUUUUAGUUGUUGUAACAGCAGACCAGCAAAUCGGCAAAGACCAAGAGCGCCCAAACAUCAAGUGCCGAUGCCCCCCAGCCCAGUCAAGCUCCAACCAAGAGAAAAGGUCCGAAAAGCACCAAGACCCAGUCAAAGCGUCAGAAGACAAUACCACCCUCUCCAACUCGUCCAGUAUCACCAAUCCAAAUAGCAUCUUCUCCUUCUCAAUCGGAGCUCUAGACGCAAGAAGCACCUUCUCCCCCUCGAUCAGUACCCCAGCCACAAGAAACACCAGCCGAUGUAUCUGAACAGAUUGCCGAUCCAGUUGAUCUGGGCACAUCAUCGGUCAUCCCUCUAGAAAAGACCAUCACCAUACUUCCUCAAGGUAAAGUACUGAUCACAGAAUUAAAACUAAUGAAUUUAUUUAUAAGCUAUAAUCAUCCUCGUAGCUUUUCAGCUGAAGUCAUUCCAUCGGCAACCCCAGCUGAUCAAACUAUAGUAUCAGCUGCAUCUUCACGUUAGAGACAGGAAAUCACCCUAAAGCAGGUAAGUUAUCCAAUUUUCCAAACUUCGCAUUAUCAACACUUAAUCUUGAGUAACUUAUCUUCUUCCUUUUCUAGGAGCAAGACUCCCUAGACAGCCUACUCUCUUUUGCCAUCGACAUCUCCGAUGAUGAAGGCGAAGAAGCAAGCUCCUCUCAGGCAGUUGGAAUCACAUCGGCAGAGAUUAAGGCCAAGUUGGAAGACUUAUUAGCUAGUGGAUGAUUUUGAUCCAGCCAAAGUCAUAUUCAAGACCCUCCGUGGCCAAAUUCCAGCCGAUGCAGAAGAAGGCUACCCAGCUGCCCACCUAGAAAGUCGCCAACUCCAGUAUCAGAAGGCUACCCAGCGCCUUGUCGAUAGAGCUGCUUAUACCCGGCUCACAGAGGACUUGCUGCAAGUAAAGCAUGCUGCCGAUGAGAAACACAAGAGCAUCGGCGUUCUACAGUCCUCAGGGAAUGAGCUGAAAUAAAAGAUUUCCAAUGUAUCGGCAAAAAGAGAAGCCCUGUUAGCUGAACUUAAGCAAGUGGAAGAGGCCCUGACUCAAGCUCAACAGGAAGAAAGCCAGCUGCCCCACACACUCAAGACUCUUCAGCAAGAAAGAGACAUCCAAGCCCACAAAGCAUUGCACAUGAAAAAGAAGCUGAAGCCAGUAGAGGGCUCUGGUGAUGAAGACACUCGAGAAGUAGAAGAGGCCAACCAGAUUCGUCUGCGCGCAAUCUCGGCCAUCCAGACUCUACUGAAUCUGUGAACUUUUCAUCGAUAACUUGUUUAGUUCUGUUUUCAAAAACUUCAAUCAUUUUGGUCUAGCCAAUUGGAUUGUUAUCGGCACUAAAACUCCAUACAUUGCUCCAAAUACACUCAACAUUUUUUCCAGCCGAUAGGACUGUUAUCGGCAUCUAAAUUUUCAUGCAUCAAUCCAGAUACUCGGGUAGCAUUUCUUCAAAUAUUUUCCAUUUAAAGCUCUAGGGAAUUCAACUCCUUCGAGGGUUUCUAAAAUAUAAGCAUUGCCAGGAGCAGAUCGAUUUAUAUGAUAAGGACCCUCCCAAUUAGGAGACCACUUUCCAAACUUUGAGCUUUUAGUCCCAAUCGGUGGAAUCAACUUCCAUACCAAAUCUCCAUCGACAAACUCCUUGGCCUUUACCUUUUUAUCAUACCAUUUAGCAACUCUCUUUUUAUUUUCUUCUAUGCUAAUUAAACCUCUUAACUGAUGCCCUGCUAAAUUAUCCAACUCAUCUUUCAUCAAAGUAGCAUAGUCAUCGGCAGUUAGUUGAUCCUUAGAAAAGACCCGCCUGGAACUAGUUUUAAUUUCCCAUGGCAAUACCACAUCAUGUCCAUACACCAAUUAAUAGGGUGAUACUUUCGUUGAAUCAUGACACGCCAUCCGAUACGACCAUAAGGCUUCAUUUAACAAUGUAUGUCAUCUCUUAGGAUUUUCUUCAAUCUUCCGCUUAAUGAGCUUAAUAAUCCCUUUGUUAGAAGCCUCGGCCUGCCCAUUAGCUUGAGCAUAGUAAGGAGAAGAAUUCAACACCUUAAUCCCCAUACCGAUUGCAAACUCAUCAAACUCCCCUGAUGUAAACAUAGUACCCUGAUCGGUAGUUAUUGUUUGGGGAAUACCAAAUCGGUAAACAAUAUGUUCCUUUACAAAAUCAAUCAUAUUAGUCGAUGUUACUUUCUUCAAGGGAAUAGCCUCAACCCACUUGGUGAAAUAAUCAGUGGCAACUAAGAUAAACUUAUGCCCUUUGCUUGAUGGUGGAUAAAUCUGACCGAUGAGAUCAAUAGCUCAUCCUCGGAAUGGCAAAGGUUUGAUAAUAUGAUUCAUAGUCGAUGCGGUUGCCCUUUGGAUAUUGCCAAACUUCUGACACCCUUGACAUCCUUCGAAAUACUUAAAGGAAUCUUCAAGUAUUGUUGGCCAAUAAUAUCCAUUCCUCUGAAUCAUCCAUUUCAUCUUAAAAGCCGAUUGAUGUGCUCCACACACUCCUUCAUGAAUUUCACCCAUCAAGCUUCUAGAUUCAUCAUCACCGAAACACUUAAGAAAGACUCCAUCGAUCGUUCGGUAAUAUAACUCUUCCUCGAGGAGUACAUACUUUGUAGCUUGAAACCUAACACGUCUCUCAACCUUUUUGGAUGGAUCUUUUAAAUAAUCAAUAAUUUCUUUCCUCCAAUCGUUGGCACUGACUGCCGAUAAUAUGUCCAAGAUGGGUUGAUAUCUCGAGGCAUGCUGAGCCAAUCGAUUGGCUUCUACAUUAUGUAACCGAGGAAUAUGCUCUAAUCGGAAAUCCUUGAAUUCCUUUAACAGUUGUACACAUCUUUCAUAAUAGGCUAUCAAAACCUCACUUCGGCAUUCAUAACUUCCAGCCAACUAGUUUAUAACGAGCAUAGAAUCACCGAAAAUUUCAACAGCAUCAGCAUGAACCUCCUUUAAUAACUCUAAUCCCUUGAUUAAAGCUUGGUACUCAGCUUGAUUAUUUGUUGAGGUGGCAACAAUCGGUAAAGAAAACUCAUAUUUCUUUCCCAGAGGAGAAAUUAGAACUAUACUGAUUCCUGUCCCCUGAUCACAUAUAGAUCCAUCAAAGAAGAGCGUCCAAGGAACAAUUUCCAAAGCAUCCACCACACCAGAAUGCUGAGUUACAAAAUCGGCCAUAAUCUGCCCUUUAACCACUUUAGUUGAUUCGUAGCGUAGAUCAAACUCCGACAAUGCUAAUAUCCACUUGCCGAUUCUACCACUCAUUAUUGGCAUUGAUAACAUGUACCAAACUACAUCAUCUUUGCAUAGAACAGUGCACUCGGCCGAUAGCAAGUAAUGUCUCAAUUUGACACAAGAAAAGUAUAAGCAUAAGCAUAAUUUUUCAAUGGCCGAAUACCUUGUCUCAGCAUCCACCAAUCUUCUGCUUAGAUAGUAAACUACAUGCUCCUUUCCUUCGAAUUCUUGAAUGAGAGCUGAACCGAUGACCAUAUCAUCGGUAGACAAAUACAAUUUGAAAGGCUUUCCUUGUUGAGGUGGAACCAAAACUGGAGGAUUUGCCAAAUAAUUCUUGAUUUCAUCCAAGGCUCAUUGUUGCUCCUUUACCCACACAAAUUCUUGAUCGGCUUUUAACUUAAGCAAAGGGCUAAAAACACAAAUCUUACCUGAUAGAUUAGAUAUAAAUUGUGUGAUAAAAUUAAUCUUGCCGAUCAAUGAUUGAAGUUUAGUUUUAUUGGUGGGAGUAACUAUUUUGUUGAUGGCAUCAAUAGAUCUCGUACUAAUUUCAAUUCCUCUUUGAUGCACCAUGAAACCAAGAAACUGUCCUGCCGAUACACCAAAUGCACAUUUAUUAGGGUUCAUUUUUAAACCAUGCUUCCUUGUGCACUCCAACACCUUUCUUAGAUCGACCAAAUGCUUUAUGAAAUUCCCAGACUUAACCACCACAUCAUCAAUAUAGAUCUCCACCAACUUGCCGAUGAACUCGUGGAAGAUAAAAUUCAUGGCCCUCUAAUAAGUAGCACCAGCAUUUUUCAAACCAAAAGUCAUAACUAUCCAUUCAAACAAUCCAACAUGACCAGGACAUCUAAAUGCGGUCUUGGGAAUAUCCUCUUCAGCCAUGAAUAUUUGAUUGUAUCUUGCAUUGCCAUCCAUAAAACUAAUAAUCUGAUGUCCAGCUGCAGCAUCAACCAACAGAUCAGCAACUGACAUUGGAUAACCAUCCAUCGACAUAGCUUUAUUGAGAUUCCUAAAGUCAAUGCAAACACGAAGCUUUCCAUUCUUUUUAUAAACAUGGACAACAUUAGAAAUCCAUUCGGCAUACCGACAUUGCCGAAUAAACUUAGCUUCAAUAAGUUUGGUUAUUUCGGCCUUAAUAUCAGGUAGGAUAUUAGGUUUGCAUCGACGUGCUGGUUGCUGAUGCGGCCGAAAACCAGACUUAAUAGGCAACCGAUGUUCAACGAUCGAUCGGUCUAAACCAGGCAUCUCGGUAUAAUCCCAAGCAAAGCAAUCUUUAUAUUCCUUUAACAAAUCGGUUAAUUGUUGCUUACACGCAGAAUCUAACUUAGCACUAAUAAAAGUAGGCCUUGGUCUAUCACCAUUACAUAUAUCUACUUCUACUAGAUCAUCCACCGAUGUAAACCCCUGUCCUAAUUUUUCAUCAUCGACGAACCUAUCCAUUAAAAUUCCUCAUCAGAACCGACUGUUUGGCUCUGUGGAAUUUCAUAAUCGGCAACCUUGAGGAAAUCUUUCUCCCAAACUUCUCCUGAAAUGCAUCUGGUUCUCUCAUAAGUAUCUGACCCUGCCGAUGCAAUGACAUAUGAAGAAUCUCCCGAAACAAUCUCAAUUUUGUCACCUACCCACUGAACAAGGCACUAGUGCAUUGUAGAAGGAAUACAACAAUUGGCCUGGAUCCAAUCUCUUCCUAGUAGCAAAUUAUAUGCACCAUUCCCACAGAUGACAAAGAAAGUUGUCGGCAAAGUCUUGCUGCCGAUGGUCAGUUCAACACAUAUGGCCCCCUAAAUUGGAGACACAUUCCCCUCAAAAUCUUUCAACAUCACAUCGAUCUUGGUCAAAUCUUGAUCUCCUUUGCCAAGUUUCUGAUAUACCGCAUACGACAUAAUGUUGAUUGCAGCCCCUCCAUCAAUGAGUAUCUUGGAAAUCGGCUGCCCAUCAACCCUGCCUUCGACAAACAGAGCUUUAAGAUGCUACCUUUCAUCAUCGGAAGGUUUUUCGAAGAUAGCCGUCAUUGGAUCAAAAGCCAACUGGGCUAUUUGGUCAUGGAAAUCUACCCCUUCAUCAUCACUGAAAGGUGCAAGAAACUCCAUCGGCAACAUAAACACCAUGUUAACAUCUGCCGAUGGUCCUUUUCCCUUGGGAUUUGAUUGCUGCCGAUUCUCUGAAUCAGAAGAACUCUCUUCCCUACUUAAUUCUUCUUGCCUUUCCCGUUGUAUCCUGCUUUUUUGUGUCCUGGUUAACCCUUCUAGACACCAUUGGGGAAGCUGUGUCUUUUGCACUGGUUGAUAGCGAACCUCCCUUUAUUCCACCUGAUGAGUGUUAGCAUCCCUGCAGAAAAUAAAUUCAUCGGGCACCUGUGCAUUUGCCAUCUCUUCAAGCUCCUCUUGGUUCCUUGGAAAAUGCCUGACACAUUCACCAAGCCUGUCAUGCACGCUGAGCAUGCCCCCCAGUCGAUCGUGAACUGACAUCCUCCCCCUCAUCAGCUCAUUAAAGCGUCGAUCAUUGUUCUGGAAUUGUCGAUCUAACCGAUCAUGCCGAUUAUAACCGUUGCACUCAGGACAGUCUCUGACAGUCGGUAACUUGAUAUUUUGCUCCCAGCAGUGAAUAAAGAAUGGGCAAUUCCAGUGAUGUUUAUGCUGAUUCCACUCUUGUCGGCGUCUUUCUUCCUCUCGGCGUCGAUCCUCUUGCUAAUGGCGAUACCGAUCUUCUCGUUGCUGCCAUGUCUCCCGAUGCCGCCUAUCAGUGAUCACAAUACCAGAUCGAGGAGGCCUUCCAGAGCUGCUGCCCUUCUGGAUAAAGCCUUUGCCCUUGGCAUCAUUGGUAGUGAUCUGAUGUUGGGGAUCUACCGAUGCGCUCUUCUCAGCUGCUUCAGAUGUUAAGACAUUAGUUUUACCCUUGGCAUCCAGCAUGUUUGCAGAAAAAGGGUGUUCAUCAAUCUUCAUUGGCUUCUAAGCUUUGGAAUUCUCAAACUUAAUCCUCCUAGAUUCUAUAGCCGAUUGCAAUUGUUGCCUAAACACCUUACACUCAUUUGUGCUGUGUGAUGUUGCAUUAUGCCACUUGCAAUACUUGAUCUUCUUCAACUCUUCUGCCGAUGGAAUCACAUGAUUAGGUGACAAUUUAAUUUGCCCCUCCUAUAGCAAGAAAUCAAAUAUCCUAUCUGUCAGCGUCUAGACUCGUGGUCUAGACACUAACGAGUAUAAGUCUGUGUGUCUUCCUAAACCCGGAUGGUGAUGCAAGUGGAACAUAGAGGGUUUAUACUGGAUCGGGCUAAGGGUGCCCUACGUCUAGUGUGAGAUCGGGGGUCUGUAUUGCCUUGCACCCAAAGGUGCUUAUAGUAGGGGUGUACAAGCAGGUUGCGAGAGAGGGCUAAGUCCCAGGUCUCAACUUUAUGUGGUGGACAGAGCACUACUUGCUACUCUGAAUGUGUGUGGUCUUGUUUGGAGUUCUAGUGUUGUGAGCACAUGUUUGGAGUUCUAGUGUUGUGAGCACAUGUCCCCUUAUGACUAUAAAAGGGGCUUGGUUCCCCUUUUAUAGUCAUAAGGGGACAUAGGGUUUUUACAUGUGUCGACCGGCGAUCUCCUUCUGGUGAAUGGUGAAGCCACAGUCUCGACCCUGUAGAAGCUUGCCCAUCCCGUCCUUGGAGUAUGGCUGGCAGCAUGGUUACUCCUGUGGAGGGUUGCCGAGCCCUGUUGAGGUCGUGGGGGUCGGAUCGCUGAUACUGCUACAUGUCUUGUAAUAGUAGAAGAUAGCCAAGAGUGGCACUGGUUAAUCUCUUCGAUACCUCUUUUACUGUGAGGUGGUAUUUCACAGUAAAAGAGGUAAGGCUGCAUAGUGAAAGAGGUAAGGCUACAGUGGCUGGGGUGGUUGGAAUAGUUGUUGCCAUGCCCCGCCGCAGUAUGGGGAUCACAGCGCAUGUCAUGUCGAGGGUACGACCACCGUGCUUGGAAGCCCAGCUCCGAGAUGGGGGCUCGGGAGAGGCGGUGUUUGCGCCCGAGCCUAAGAGGGGUCGGGCGAGGCGGUACUUACGCCUGAGGCCAAGGGGUCGGUCGAGCUAGAGCUUGCGCUUGAGGCCAAGGGGUCGGGCGAGGCGGAACCCACGCCCGAGCCCUGGUGAUCUUGGGUGAUCUGCCUUAUUCCCCUUUUUUGUAUUUUUUAUUCCUUUAAUUUGGGUAUCCCUUUUUAUUGUACCCAAUAGUAGCCCCCGAGCCUUUGGAGGGGUGAACGCUCCCCUUCAGAGGCUCUCUUUUAUGGGACAAUUUUAGUUGCUUUGGAGCUACUUUUUUCCUUCGGAGGGUGCGCACGAGCGCAUCCGCCAGGUGUAGCCCCUGAGCCUUUUGGAGGAAUGGUGUUAUUCCUUCAAAGGCUUUUACCCUUGAGUGUUGGAGUCGGGAGUAUUCGAGGGAUAGGUUGCGUGUUCUUUGCACGUAGUGGCUGUUCCCUUUAUGCGAGGGAGCCCCCGAGCCCUUUCCCCACAAGGGUCGAUCAGGUUCUUUCUCGUCUUGUCGUUACGCCCCUCAUUCGUCCUUUCGCUCGGAGGAGGGAUGGAAGAUGCCGUACUACCCUCGAUGGGCGAGUAUCCACACUCCCUGAGAGCUGCAGGUGAGUAAAUCCAAGUGGAUGCCUGAGCCCCAUUCGAUAGGGGUCGGCUGGUGGCCCUAUGGGCACAUCUCAAAGUACCCGAGGGCAGUCACGGUGGAUGUCGGAACCGUUCGUUAGGUUCUGUGGGCUCGGUGCCUCCCUCGAUGGGAUCCCACUCGCGUGACACCCGCAUGGGUCUCGGAUAUGACUGGAAAAGAUGCGCCGAUCGCUUGGGGCGCUCGGACCAUAGCCUCUAUUGUGCUCAUCCUCAGUCAUCCCUCGCUCGGUCAUCCUGAGGCGACUGUUCGAACCCAUUUGAUGGGUCAGUCUCUCAACCUCUGGAAUGUAGGUGCCCAUGGCCUGGGAAUUUUUUACCUUUAAGAGGUUUUUUGACCGGUUGCACCAGGGGGGUCGGGCUAGACGGAGUUUGCCUUGGAAGGAACCGCCUUGCUGCUCGGCUCGGGCGCAGCGGGGGGUCGGGCGCCGCUUGCCCUGGAAGGAACCGCCCUAACAUGACUUUUUAGGGCGCCCCUUUUGAGGUGACUCGCAUGGGAGUCAGAACGACCGUGCUGUUGCGCCUGAGCCGGAUGUGACGCAUUGCCUGCAAAAUUAAUGCGCGCGUGGGCGCAGUACGCGUGAGAAUCGGGAGAACUAUGCGCUUUGGUUUUUUCACCUGAUUAGAGAGAGAGCGACGGUUGCUCUUUUCGCCGUUGAUCUUCUGCGUGGGAGGUGAAGCCGCGGCGCGCUCCUUCUAUAAAAGCAGCCAUGGGGGUCCUAUUCCCUUUCUACCUCCCCUUGCCCCCAAAACGCUCUUGCCUCCUAAUCUUUUUGCCGCCGCCUUCUCGACAUUAUCUUGCAAGCAUCCUCCUUCGCCCGCAGUGAUGGCCGGUGACGACGCCUGGUACCCCUACAACACGACCAGGGCAGCGCUGGAGGCGCGUGUGAAGGGAGGACUCCUCCGCCCUAUCACGGAUGAGGGGUCGUCGGAGUGGAUCGUUCCCCCGGUGAGCGACAGGGAGCCAAACCCGCCUCCGAGCUAUGUGGUUUGCUUCCUGUCUUUCCUGGAGUGGCGGUUUGGAGCACCCGUCGGCCGGCUCAUCCAAGCCAUUCUUCACCACUAUGGGGUGGAGCUGCACAACCUCAACCCUAACUCCGUGAUGUAGGUGGCCGUCUUCACCACGGUGUGCGAGGGGUUCCUGGGGGUCCCUUCCCACUGGAACCUCUGGCUUCACCUUUUCAAGGCAGAGUUGUCCUCCCGCAAUGAGGGAGGGGAGAAGAAGCCCCUGCGGGCUGCGGUUGCACGUUGUAGCUCCGCCAGUCGCGCUCCCACCUGUACAUCCGGAGCAACAUGCCAACAUCAAACCGGGGGUGGCAGAACGGGUGGUUCUACCUCCGGAAUGAUGGUGGGCUGCUCCCACAGUACACCGGGAAGAUGGAGGACUAGAAGAGGCUCAGUCCCCUUCUUGUGGGGCUUGAGAAGCUUCGUCAAGCCAGGGUUACCGCGGCUACGGUGGCGACGGCGUUAGCGCAGCGGAGGGCGUUCAUGUGGGAGAUGACCCGGGAGGUCCCCUGGGUUGGGACGCGGAUGCUGGAAACGCCAGUGUCGGCAACGGAGAUAACCACCCGGCUCUCGAGGACCACACACCCAGAUCUGAAGGAUUCCCGGGUGGUGCCGAUGCGCCCCGAGAAGGGCUACAUUUCUCUGGUAAGACUCUGCUUUUGUCUUUGAUUUUGUGCCCGUUUCUCUUCUUCCUUGCCUUAGCUUCGAUUGCCACUCGUUUGCAGGGAAUGUGGAUCGUCAAGGACUCCCUGCCCCUAGUCUCGGAGAACAAGGAGCUCCGAGCCAGGAAUCGGGCCCAGAACGAGGAGCAGAAGAGGGCCAAGUAGGCAUAGAAGGCGAAGAGCGCGAGGAAGGCGCAGCGCCGCGAGACCGCCAACAUGAACCGCCGCGAGGCCGAGAAGGCAGGGCUCCCCGCGCUAGAGUCUCCCGAGACUUUGGUCUCGGAGAUAGAGGGCGGGGGAGAUACGCACUGGCUCAACGAGUUGGUGGACGAGGAGGAGGACGACGUGAUCCCCCCUGUUGGUGGGGCGAUUGAGAUCCCAGAGGGGUUAAGGGCCUGAGGGGGGUUGGAGGCCCCCGAGGGGUCUCAGGCACCGGGGGGCGAAAGAAUCGCCCCCUAUAUUAUUGUUGACGAUGAAGAGGAUGGAGCCCCGCAAGAGGGCUCUGUCCCCCUAGGUCCCCAAGAGGGGGAAAGGGCGCCAGGCUGCGGAUCCGAGAUGCCCCCAUAGCCGGUGGCGCCGGAGGGCCCAACUGAGCCCUGCCCAGCGCCUGGGGCGGAGGUGGAAGGCUCGGCAGAGGCGCCAUGGGCCGAGUCCACCGUCGAAGCCCCCGUGCCAACUGCUGGGGAGACGGGGAUCCGCCUAACGACCCUCAGCGCUCCGAGAGGCGCUCAGGGAGAUCCAAGCUCCCAGAACAGUGCUUCCCCCGAGCAAGGUAUGUACUGGCUUUUUGAUCUUUCUUUUGAUUUUUUGUUUUUCUCUUUCUUCUAAUUCACGUUGUUUCCCUUUCAGCCGGAAGCACAAGGUGGCUUUAGUGGUACUUGCUCUCCUAAAGGCCGUGAAGAGGGGGCUCAGUCGACCCCUAGGUCAGCGAGGCCCAAGUCAUUGCCCCCUCGAGCCGCGAAGAGGGUGAGCUCUCCCACGAGGAAGGGGGGCAGGAGACUAGGGGGAAGACGCCAGAUCCCCCGGCGAAGGAGGCGGGGACGCCGAGGCCCCAAGAGCCAGAGGGGACGGUCCUGGCCCUCGAGGCUAUUCCCCAUUUAGGGGACGCUAGCUAGGAGGUCAGGGUCAACCUAGAUAGGCCGAGGAGGGCAGGGCCGAGGUGGUGCUGAAUGUGGUGCCUUCCGAGAGGUCUCACGGGAAGGGGCUGGCCCGAACCGAGGCCCCCGCAAGGGAGGGGGAGGGAGCAUGGCCUAGGGCCAGAGUCCUGUGAUCUGGCGCAACCCAGAUGAUCCGGAGGGGAGGGCCAGGUUCAUGCUGGACGACCCGUCAGAGGCCUAUCUCUGGCGGGGCCUUGAGGAGUGCGGGCGCACCAGCGUCGAGGCGAUUAACCGAGCAUCCGAGCUCGUGAGCCGAGACAUGUUUAAGUUUGCCCAGGUAAGGUCUCCGUCCCUUUGGUGAAGUGUUGUUUUAUGUCUUUGGACUGGUUCCACACAUAAUACCUAAUUUUGCAGGCGCUCCAUGCCGCAUCCUUGGAGAAAUUGACGUUCCUCCGCGGGGAGCGAGGCGCCUAGGCGGCCUGCGACGACGAGAGGGCUGCGCGGGAGGCGGCCGAGGGGGAGCUCGCGAAGGAGUGUGAGGUUUCUGCCGAGCUUCGACAGAAAUGCUCAGAUCUCACGACCGAGGCUCGGGAAGCCCGGGAAAAGGUUGCUCCCUUGGAGAAGAGGGCCAGUGACCGUACCCAGAAGUCCCAAGAGCAGAGCGCAGCUGCCGAGAGGUACACGGGUGAGGUCGCUCGGUUGGAAGCUUUGCUCGUCGAGAAAGACCUUGCCCUUAACCAAACCCAGGCCGAUCUUUCCGUGGCUUAGGGCGAGGUCUUCCUCUGGCAUCAGAGCUCGACGGAGAAUGGAAAGUGGGCGGAAGGUAGGAACUGGGUCUUUUACCUUAGCUUGUUUAACAUUUGGAUUCAUUUUCCUAAUUUUUGUCUUCUCGUUCUGUUUUUCAACAGAGCAGGAGAAGAAGGUGGCUGAGGCAGCCUCUGCCGCUGAUGCCCUACAGAAGUCACUUGAUGUCGAGGUGGCGGACCGUUCGGCUCUAGAGGCCGUGGUCGCCUCGACAUGUGAGGGGCUCGGUGUACUGGCGAGCGCGUCGGGGUCGUCUUUGCAGAGCCGUGUUGAGGCUCUGUACUCCCGGGCUGGGGAGAGGAUGAGGGAGGCGCUUCAUGCCGGGGUGAAGAAAGCCCUGGCGGUGGUGAGCUCUCACUACGUCGACAUCGAUUUGCCGGCGGUUUGUGAGGGCUAUGUCCUCCCUGACGACGAGGCGGAGGCCUAGGAGGAGCUGUAGAAGCUUGGUGACGCCGCGGACGCCCUGGGAGACGCCCUGGCCACCUUCUUCGACGCUGAAGUGGAGCUUCCCCCCUCGGCGCGCAGGGGCCUGGAGAAUCAGGGCAGUGAGGCCCUUGUAGUUAGUUUUUUCUUUUUGUUUAAGAUCGUCAAGGGCCGAUAGGCCUUGUUUUUUAUGAAACUUGAUGUCGAAUGUGUUGACACCAUUUUUGGAUACAUAUCUUUUGAUACACAUCUGGAGUUAAAUGGGAUGUAGAUCGGCAGAUGGAGCAGUAGUGACUAGUCUGCAUGGAAGUUGCCGAUAAAGGUGGCUGCCGAUGGGAAACAACUGGAUAUGGCCAAGUCUAGAAGUGGCGACGUAUUUGUGCUGAUGACCAAUGCCGGAGUUUGCCGAUGACUGUAGACGGGUAAUCCGCCGAUGACUCUGAAGAAAAGCGCAGAGGUUGCCGAUUGAUUCAGGGCGGUGUCCUGAUCGGUUACGGGGGAUAGUUUAAUGUUUUCCUUAGUUAUUAGAAUUCGUUUUGUAUACGGUUUCUGUUUAAUUUGGAAUUUGAGUCCUAAUCGUGUCUGGUUGUAGUUCUUUGGACAGGGUAUAAAUGUAGACCCUAGGGCAAUGUAAUGACACAUCUAUCAAUCCAUCAAACACAAGUUUUUACUCAUAUUCCAGCAUCUACUUUUCGACGACUUCGUCAUAUUUUCUCUUUUGCUACAAGUUCUUAGGAAUUCGUCGAGUCAAACUAGGCGUGUUCUCAAGUUCCACGUGAACACCUCAGUGUUCGAAUUAUCACCUUUGUCGAUUGUAAGGUCAAAUCGGCUGGCACGCCUUAACGUUUGAAUCGGGUAUUAGCCCUUUGUGUUUGCAGAUCAGCUUUUGCACCAACACAUCUUUUGGCACGCCUAGUGGGAUAGAUUCAAGAUCAAGAUCAAUAUGUCGAACACCGAUUUCGACUUGGAGAACGUCAUCCCAGUGACGAAGGCCAAUCUCAGAGAUGAGCAAAAGCAAGCUAUGGCAAAAGCCAUGGAGGAAUACAAGCAGCAAUGCUUGAAAUCCUUCAGUAUCAAUAGGAGCGGUGAAUGUUGGGUAUUCUUAACAUCAUUACCAAAAGUAGAUAGUUUCUAAUUCUGAUAACGGUGCCAAAAAUGCCAAACCUAUCUCUCAUAUCACUUAAGCCAAGUUGUCAUCCCCAGCAUGACAUGAUAGACGUGGUAUUGAAAUAUGCAAUUGCUCAUCUAAAUAAAUAAUGAAUGGGAUCUGCAAGCGCACAUAUUAAUACCAAUGUAGCAUUUUAACCGGGAAGUAUUCUAGGUAUCGUUAUUUAUAUUUUUACCACUGGGAACGGAUUAGUAAUCAUCAAUGUUGAUUAUAGAAUGGAAUAUGAGAUUGAGUAUCUAUCAUUGCAUAUAUAAUUCACAACAUUUAUCUAACUCUUUCAUACAGGGAUAAGUGUCACAUAAAGGAUAUAUAAAGUAACGAAUAGUGACAAAGAUAAUUAAUCUGAUCAGCAUAACUUAGCCACAUAAUAAAUAUGAUAAGCACCUCAAUUAGAUAUUCUAGCAAGUCAUUAGCAUGGUAUUAGAACGAACUACAAGAAUAUUUCCUAAGUUAUUCUCAACUAUACAGUCUAGCAUUAUCAUAGUUAGUGCAAGUAUACUUAGCAAUCAUUGUGAGAAAAGACUACGCCCAUGCAUAGUGAUAUUAUCAAGGAAUAUGAGAAACAUAGCAAUUACUCUUCUGUAAUAAUAUUGCUCUGCCAGCCCAAUACACGAGAGGGGGACUAUAUAAGAAUCAAUGAAGCUGUCACUAUCACGAACUACCCCACGAUCUGGCAUAUUGGGUACAAUCGCAAAUAAAUACGGUAUAAGCACCACACCUACACAAUAUCUAUCAUUUACCCAUGGAUCCGAUGAAUAAAUGCUAUACGAUCCUAAAAAUGUAUAUAGAUCCAAUCUAACUAAGCCAAGUAUAUAACCAUGAUAAACUAAGAACAAUAUAAUCUUGAAUAUAAACAAGUAGAGCAAAGUUAUAAGCAAUAUAUUGAAGUAGAACAAAGUCAUAUUCAUAAUAUUGAAGAACAAAGAUAAACAAUUACAAGAACAAUUAGAGAAUUACCAAGAAUCCUCUUGACAGAUCCAGAAACCAAUCGAAGAUUGACUCCUUCUAGUUCUAAUCCUAUGUAGCUAUGCUAAUCUAGAUAUCUAAUUGAUGUGGUGGCUCUAGGCUUGAUCAGAGGCUUCUUCUCCCUUGAGAAUAAUGAAUUAGGGUUGAGAGGCUCUCUCCUCCAGGGGCUAGGGGGUCUGGUUUUAUAGUCCCUCCAAGUGAAUAUGGGCCGUCAGAUCAAACCGACAUUGAUUUAACGGUUAUCCUUGAUCCUUUAGGUCGGUGGAGAUUGAUCCCAAAAGAGAGUCCUUAUUGGACUCAGAAGGGGGGCGGGCGCCCAGGGCCAGGCCCUGUUCGGCCUCCGCUUCCUUCCCGUGGCUUCUGGAGUCUUCUAGAUGUAAGAUAAUUGCACGGCACAUUGAUAUCUCUAUGUAAUCUCGACGUGUGGGCCUUUCUUCCGUAUUUCCUGAUAACCCCCUACAGAAAUAGACAAACACCGAAACUCGUGGAAUUCUAUCAGAUAAAACCCUAAGUCUGGAUGUUGGUUGCAUUUGGAUCCUUUUCUUUGUUUAUUUGAGAAUUAAAUUUGAUACUUAAGGGCCGUCAACAAACUCCCCCAAGCUUACCUCUUGCUCGUCCCUGAGCAAAGAUAAUCUCAGCGAUGGAUCAGAAGUUGUUGUAAUGCCUUUCACCAUGGGACUUGUAACCGUCUCUUCUGUCUUGAGUAGUUAAAAGAUAGAACGGUCUAAUCAAGUGCCAUGUCUCUUAUUCUUGAUCAGCUAUAGCUCUGAAGUUUUUGAAGAUUUUCAAAUAAAACUCAGAAAUUCCUUGUAUGACUCUCUUAGAUCUCUCUUUUGUGGUAUUUUUGGAUCCUUACCAAGGCAGUGAUGGUAUAUGCCUUUUCUCAAAAUAUGUAGUAUUUGUGGUAUGAAGCAUAGUGACAUUGUCUUCUCUCUCACCCUACUCUAAUAAGGCUUUAAUAUCUAGAGCUCAUAAGUGGGAGAUAAAAUAUACAUACUUACAAGACAUUUAUUAUACAUACUUACAAACCAUGGAUCCAAAGAAACAAAUCAAUAAGUCAAAUCAAGAUGUGCAUGUGUGGCGAAUGAAUGGUAUGUGGUGAUGAUGGUGAUAACAAUGGUGAAAAUCUAAUUCUACUUAUUGCUCUAUUGAGGGGAUACAUACCUUUCUUGCUCUUUGAAACUUUUUGAGGAGAAUGAGAUGCUCUCUUUUUUCUUUUUCUCUCAGGUGGGUAUCUUGUACCCCUAAUUCUACUAUCGGACACUUGUCCAUUUUUACCUCUCGUCUCACUUUUUCUUCUCUUUUCUUUUGAGGUUCCGGGCACUUGCCCCUUUUUAUUUCCUCGUUUCUUAUUUUUUUAGAGCACUCAUCUCUUGAGAUAAUAUAGCAAAUGGUAGUAACAAGAUAACUUGAGCGUUUAUUUCAUAGGGGAAAAAACAGAAAUAUUUUUCGUCCUUCUCUCCCAGAUUAUAAGUAGAAUAUUUUUGGGUGGUUCUGGAGAUGGAAAUGGGUGGAUAUAUGUGGAUGAUAUUUCCGGAGUAGAAGCAGCAUGUGUGAGUGAACGUGUAAGUGAAUCUUGAUUUAACCACAUGACAAGCUCCUAAAGGUCUACAUAGCUUGACCACACUCAAUGCUCAUAAGCAGUAAAAAGUAAAUGUGUAGCUCAAAGUCUAGCAAGCAUUUAUAUAUGGCUGUGGUAGGAAUUUAAACUUUCAUCAUACAGGAACUCAUCAUGUAAUAUUUUAUAGAUUUUCAAAGAUAAAAUUCUCUAGAAUUCUAGCAUCUGUAGGAACAGAUAAACAGCAGCUCAACCUUCCCAUAUCAUAUUCGUUAACAACUUAGACUUUAGAUCAAGUUUUCUUCCCACAAGUUUAGGUUUAGAGCAAGCUUUAAAUUAUAACAGCUAUGUCUAAACUUGAGAGAGAACUUCAAAUUUUAAAAAUUAGGCAGAACAACUAUUCAUCAUAUCCAUGCAAGAGUUUUAUUAUUAAGAUUC